rnacentral:lncRNA from 1 species
GCCAGACCUAGAUACAAUUAUGUAUAACCUUUUUCAGUUUUUAUGUGUUCGGUGAAGCAAAAGUAAACGAGAAAAUUAGAUAAAAAUUUAAAUUAUAAAACUUAUAUUAAAUUUUUUUUUAAAGUAAAAUGUCAUACGAAACGACGCAUCCUAAAGAAAUUGUCAGAAAGCAUCGUUUCGCAGAAUCCCCAAUCCUACACUAUCCAAAACAUAAAUCAAGACAUUCCUAGUACACCUACCGUUUAACUCUUAAGCACUUUUAUUUUACAAGUAAACUAGGUUUCAUAGAAAGAAAUCAAGAAUCUACGAAUUCUAUCAGUUUACCUAGACCAAAACCAAAUUAAACAUAUUAUAUGAGAAGGACGUUAGACGCAUCCACCUCACUCUUCUUAGCUUGCGCCUCAAACAUCAGCACUUCUACCUCUGGUUCCUGAGUUGGUGCCUCCUUGAGCAUCCCCACCUCAAAAACCAUACCACCAGAAGCCUCUUGCAUCCUUACAAUUGGGUUUCCUCCUACCUCCCCAUCCAAGUUCUUCUCGAUGACCAAAGGAUUCAUCGAACCUACAGAAACAAACCUUUAAUCAGUAGUCUUCUCGGAGGAGGAUACUUUCUUAUGACUCUUCCAUUUCUUGACCACAAGAGCAAACUCUGUUUUAGGUUUGUUCUUGCUGCCAUAAGGGCGACCUAACUUCUUCUUUGAGGAUACAACCAACUGGCCUUGAUGAUGUACCAAACUGGCCUUGAUGAUGUACCAAAGCCACCGAUCUUGUCUCAGCAACAUUCAGAGAUGCUUCAGGGAAAUUAAGAAGGCGUUUACCAGUACGCUCUAAAACAUACACCCACAUACAUUUAAAGAUGGUUUGGGGAAAUUAAUUUAAUAAUUAUUAAAUUAUUAACAUACACCACAUACAUGUUUUUUUUUCAUUCUACACCCAAAAUCUUUUAUUAUUAUUUUUAUUUGUUUUUCGUAUGUCUAAUUUAUCCUUCUAAUGUAUAAAAAGUUAAAUUAAAUUAUUUUCUUAGUUUGAGAAUCCAUUUGAAUUUUCCUUAAUUCUAUCUUAAUCAAUUACAUCCAUGAUUUUUUUCUUUUUUAAAAAAAAUUUAUAUUGCUGAGUCAAUGUGUGUGUGUAUAUUCAUUACAAAAUUAUUCAAUUUUUAAAAAGGUUUGAGUUCUUGUUCUUGUUAGCAUGUAUUUUUCUUCUCAAAGAGCCUUCACAUCAGAUCUUUUCUUCUAAACUCGAUCAAAAGCAAGUGUAUAUAUAAAAUGUCCCCAUCCCAUCAAAAUCCAUAUUUCAUUAUUACAAUAUCUGGUCACGGUCAUUGUAUCGAUCUAAUCUGUAAUUAUUCAGCACAGGAAAAAAAAAAAAUGGGGUUUUGCUGCAGCAAGAAAAAUAAAGCUGAUAAAGCUAGUGGGACAGUCCGAAUGUCUCUUCAAUCUUCAGGAAAUCUCUCUCUAGGUUCUAGGGUUAGAGAGCCAGCAAGGUUCCAUUUUCUUCUCUCUUCCAUUUCUUAAAGCAGCUAGAAGCUCUGUGUACAUGGCCCUAUGAAGCUCCAGCUGCUCCAGCUGUUGAAAAAUCGCAGAAAGAAAAUCUCCAAUCGAUGGAGAACAAAUUGUCUUUAUUUCAUUGUCUCACUGCAUAAUUCCUUUCUUAUUUUUCUCGCGUACUGAGUUACUGACACGGUUCAUAUAAGACGUUAAGUUAUUUACUUGUAUGUAUCAAGCUAAUAGCUAAUAUACAUGGGACUGAUGCGAGUACUGGCUAUAUAUGGUAUGGUAUAUAUAGAAACUUAGAAAGAGAGAUGCAGCCUCUUUAAGUCUGAACUACCUGGUAAAUUGUUAAUAGUUCUUACUUCUUACUUCACAUAUAGUUGACAGUUGAGUACGCAUGCUCUAUCAUGAGAAAGAUGGAUGCUCUUUCAAUGAAUUGUAAGUUUGUAUUUACCCGUGAAGACAUUGUUGAAUGUUCUAGCACUUUGGUGAAACUUGUUCGACUUUACUGCCUCGAAUAUGUUGCAUAAUACCUAGUUUUUUUAUGUUGCAGAAUAACUAGUUGGAGGAACUUGUUUGAACCCUAUGCUUAUUUCUUGAUUGAUACCUUCGUUUAUACGAAGAGAAAAUUACAUAAUCUCAACAAAACAAAAAAAAUACAUAGUGAAGUCCUAAUUUAGGCUUCCAUUGAUUAUAGAUAUCUAACAGGUGAAAGUGAAACACAAGAGAGGUAAAAUUUUAACUACAAGAAUGGACAAAAGAGCUGGAAAUUAGCUUAUAGAAGUGGGUCCUAAACAAAUCUGCUGUUAGAUAUCACCGCACGCAAAAAAUCAACGGAUAAAUCAACUCAAUUUCCAUAUCGAGAGAAGAAACUGAUUAUCCAUUUGGAAGAUAAAGACAACAAGUAAAACACUAAAAGUAAUUAAGUUGGGCAUUUUUGUUUUUUGUUUUUCUUCUUGUUUUGAAGAAGCAGCAGCGACCCACUGAACAUGAUGGGUUUGAAAAUUGGGUUACAAUGGAGCUACAGAACAGAACAGAACAGAACAGAACUUUGGAUCGUGGUUAGGAUUUAGCUAGAGUUACUGUAAAUACUACUGUAAUGGGUAGAUCUAGGGUUAGGGUUUCAAGGGAAGGAGAGGUAGGCGAAUCAGUAACAAAAGCGUAAGAAUAAGAAAGCAGGCAAGGAGAAAAAGUUAGACGGACGUCACUGGUGUGAGGUUUUGAAGUCUGUAUAGGAGGAAGGAAGAGGGAUGGAGAGACAGGAAGGCUAGGCCCCUUGCAAGCAAAGCUUUUCUGAUAUGAACUUUACGUCAAGUCCAUCAAACAGCUGCAUAAUACCAAGAAUUAUUCAUAUUUUUAUAAAGUAAAGUGAUUUUCUGUUUCUCUUUAAAGUGAUGAUCAAACAAAUUCAAACCCAGAAUUCAAAAUGCCGGAUAAAUUAACGCUUCAAUAUAUGGAAACGUUGGUUGCAUUCUAUUCAAGUGAGACUAAAAUGUUUUGCAAAUCAUGAUUAUAAAUCUAAACAGUAUAAGUUAUUCCAGUCUUGAUUAUAAAUCUCUUUUCUCCUAACAGUAUGGAUUCGACUAGAAAUUCCCAAACAGAUGAACAAUAUGUAUCAAGGUGUCAAUAUCGAUCGAUCUAGUCAGUCAAGGUCUGAAGGACGAGAAUUCCACCAAAUGAGAUUGAUAUAUGUUCUAUUUUCAUUCAAAUAGUACAAGAGAGUUGUAGAGCACGAGUUGCAUUUACAGUCUCACGAGCAUGUAUUUGCAAAUCAUGAAGUACCUAUAGACUAUACUGAUUAUAUUCUUUAAGAAAAAUUUUAAAAACAGUACAUGAUAAAUUGUUCAUUCUAAAUUUUGGUGUUUUAAGUUUCAAAACAAUCAUAACGGUACAUGAAUUUGUAAUCUCAUCAAAAAAAUAUGUACAUACCGUUACAUUCUCUGUUAUCUACCGUGUUUUCCGUUAAACUUUGAGGAGACAAAUCCGUCACUCUUUAAUUUAGCAGUAAUAAAUUAUUAAAAUCAAUAAUUAAAUUAAUAAUUAAUAAGGAGAAGGAAAUAAGAAAGAAAAAAGUAUUGUUGUCUCUCUUUUUCAUCCUCGUUCAAACCCAACAUACACAAAAAUGGUGAUCAAGGUAGGACUGUAGGAGGAAGUUGGAAGAUGAUUUGAUUUGGUAAGUUACGGAAUACAUGGUUUGUAUUAAAGGAAAGGAUCCUACUGUACCUUAACCAUUCAGUAGAUAAUUGGUAGAGUUGUAAUCCCUUAUUUUCAGGGUUUAUAGUUUCCUUGUACAGCUAGAGUUAGGGUUUCACCCUUCUAAGGUUUGUGUAUAUAUACCGAUGUAAUUGCACACCAUUGAAUAAGAAUACAAGCUUAUUCCAGUAUCAAACUCUUUAUGGUACCAGAGCCUAUAUCGAUCUAGGCAAACACACACACACACACACACACCCCCAUGGCAAACGGUGAUGAAGAAAAAACCAUCAAGGGCACUUCCAGAACACCUGAACCUUGGGAAAACCCUAACCAUGUUCUUUAUCUUCAUCAUUCAGACCAGCUUGCUGCAGUCCUUGUAGCACAGUCGCUGAUGGAAGAUAACUACGCAGAAUGGAGUCAGUCAAUCAGCAUGGCAUUGACAAUCAAAAACAAAAUCGGGUUCAUAACUGGAUCCGUUGGAAAAGCAACGAUCAAUGAGGCAGAGAAGCUUCAAUGGGAACGUUGUGAUACCUUGGUGAAGACUUGGCUCAUUGCAUCCAUGAGCGAAGGCAUAUCUGGCAGCGUCAAGCACUGCAAGACAGCGAGGAAGAUCUGGCUCGAGCUACAAGAGCGCUUCUCACAAGCAACAACCGUUCAGCUGUUCAAUAUCGAAAACGCUAUCCAUGGUUGUGAACAAGGCACAAAGACAGUCACCACUCACCACUUUCUUCAACAAGCUCAAAGCUUUGUGGGACGAGAGGGAUGCUCUAUAUGACCUAACUUCUUGUGAUUGUGAAGUAGGAAUCAAGAUAAGUGACUAUGUCAAGAAUCAGAAGACAAUGCAAUUUCUCAUGGGGUUGAAUGAGAACUUUGCAACGAUGCGAGGAACUAUAGUGGCCAUCGAUCCGCUGCCGUCAUUGAACACUGUAUUUGCUAUGGCCUUGCGCACCAAAAAGCAAGCAAAAGCUUUUGCUGGCACCAAGCCGGUAUCUCAACCUGAAGGAGCCACAUUCUUUAUGCGAAAUACCAACCAAGAAAAGGAGCAUGUCGAGAAUGAGCAGUGAUGCGCCAAGUGCAACAAGAACAAUCACCUUACUAAGAACUGUAAGGCGCACUUAAGGUGUAGCUUUUGUGGAUUCAAAGGACAUGUAGUCGAAACAUGUCAGAAGAAGAAGGCAGCAAUGGAGGGGCUUCAAGCUUAUGCUAGAGGCAACAAUGCAGCAACGUUUGAUGAAGGCAGUGCUAGGCUUUUCAUUCUCAAAGGAAGAUUGUCAACAGAUCAUGGCGGUGUUGAACAAAAACAAAACAGCGUCCGCGAACCAUGCUGGUAACACCUCACUCUAUGAAAACCUCUUAGGUAAAGCCUUUUGUUUUCGUAAUCAUGAGAAGUCUAGUGUGUGGAUAUUGGACAGUGGUGCCACUGAUCAUAUGGUUUGUAACCCUACUAACCCUACUCUUCUUACUCACAUCAAGCCAACACAAAAUCGUUUUGUCAAACUUCCUGAUGGUAAUACAACUAGGGUCAGUCAUAUAGGCACAAUGGUCUUCUCAUCCAAGUUCGUGUUACAAAAUGUGUUAUAUGUCCCAAUGUUUUAUCUCAAUCUCAUAUCCAUUAGUAAACUAGCGCAUGAUUCGUUUUGUGUCACCAUCUUUCUCAAACAAAUUUGUUUUGUACAGGACCUUCAAUCCGGGAAGAUGAUUGGGAUGGGCCAUGAGAGGGACGGACUAUACUGCCUCGACCAAACCAAGCAAGGAAGAUGUAAUGUUGUUAGCAACAUUUCGAGUGAUCUAUGGCAUGCAUCAAUGCCUCGGUCACCCUUCUAGUAGAGUCUCUUCUUUAUUUCCUUUUCUUUCAAGUAAAACUUGUGAUUCAAACAAGUGUUUAGUAUGUCUUUUGGCUAAACAAACCAGGAAUCCUUUUCCAUUAAGUUCUAUUUCAAGUGAGUCACCUUUUGUUUUAAUUCAUGUUGAUAUUUGGGGAGGAUAUCAUGAACCUUCAAUUUCUGGAGCAAAAUAUUUUCUCACCAUUGUAGAUGAUUACACUAGGUCUACUUGGGUUUACUUGAUGGUACAAAAAUCGAAAGCUCGCAAGCGUCUCAUUGAUUUCAUUAAACUUGUCGAAAAUCAGUUUGACAAAAAUGUUAAGAUUUUGCGUAGCGAUAAUGGUCCCAAAUUUAAAAUGGUCGAUUUUUAUUCUUCAAAAGGGAUUGUUCAUCAGACUAGUUGCGUCAACACACCACAACAAAAUGGUGUUGCUGAACGCAAGCAUCGUCAUUUACUCAACGUCGCUCGUGCUCUUCUUUUUCAAGCAAACCUACCAAAAAUGUUUUGGGGAGAUGCCAUUCUUACAUCUGCAUACCUCAUAAAUCGCACUCCUACACCUUUGCUUUCAGGUCAAACUCCUUUCGAGAGGAUAUUUAACAAACCUCCGAGCUACUCACAUUUAAAAGUUUUUGGAUGCAUGUGUUUUCCAUCUACACACCCAUCUAAGCCAAGCAAGUUUGAUCCUAGAGCAACUACAUGCAUAUUUCUAGGUUAUCCACAAGGGCAAAAGGGAUACCGAGUGUAUGAAAUCAAAACAACACGAGUUUUUGUUUCCCGGGAUGUGACCUUCUAUGAGACCGAAUUCCCUUACCAAACCAGGGUUUCGCAUGAACAUGGACCUUCAGCUAGGGUUUCGAGUGAGCCUAGGGUUACAGAUGAUAUUGAGUUUCCUAGUUCAACUAGGGAUAGUGAUGAUCUUGUCACUCCUAGGGUUUCAGAUACAGUUGAUAUCUUGUACAAUCAUUCUCCUACUCUUCCGCUGCAACACCAAUCAUUGACCAACCAAUCCUUACUGUACCCGACGCACCACCUCAACCUCCAACCUCCCAAAAUCCCGAAACACAAAUUCUUGUUCCAGAAGUCGUUCCAAACCCUGCUCCAUCACCUAUACGUUCUUCUCGACCAACUAGGACACCAACAUACUUGCAGGAUUUUCAUGUUGAGGCAGCACUUCCCUCUCGAUCUCCUCCAUAAUCUUCCAUGGAACAAGGUACUCCUCACUCUCUUUCUAAUGUUUUGUCUUACCAUCAUCUUUCCUCUCCACAUCGAAUCUUUACUGCUAACCUUUCUGUCCACAAAGAACCUACCUCUUUCACACAGGCUGUCCAAAUCUCAGAAUGGAGAGAUGCCAUGCGCAAAGAAAUCGAUGCGCUCCAAAGUAAUUAAUCACACAUGGAGUCUCGUACCCUUACCUCCUCAUAAAAGACCUAUUGGCUGCAAAUGGGUCUAUAAAAUCAAGCUUAAAGCUGAUGGCAGUGUUGAAAGAUACAUGGCCAGACUUGUUGCCAAAGGUUACAGUCAAAUCGAGGGCGUGGAUUAUCAUGAGACAUUUGCACCGGUGGCUAAACUCACCACCGUCUGCGUACUUCUUGGGCUCGCCUCUCUUAAAGGAUGGUAUCUUCAUCAACUUAACGUGAACAACGCUUUUCUCCAUGGCGAUCUCACUGAAGAAGUAUACAUGAAACUUCCUCCUGGAUUUGGAGGAAAAGGGGAGACUAGAGUUUGCCGGCUGCACAAAAGUCUCUACGGUUUGAAGCAAGCUAGUAGGCAGUGGUUCAUCAAACUCUCUAUGGCACUCAAGGCAGCAGGAUUCACUCAGUCAUGGUCUGACUAUUCCUUGUUUGUUAAAGCUCAUUCUGGAAAGCUCACUGCGUUACUUAUGUACGUUGAUGAUGUGAUCUUGGCAGGCAACAGUUUGGAAGAAAUCACAGCUACAAAACUGUCCCUUUCACACCGAUUUAAGCUCAAGGACCUUGGAGAGCUCAAAUACUUUCUUGGCAUAGUGGCUCGGUCAAGAAGAGGGAUAGCACUUUGUCAGAGAAAAUAUGCAUUAGAGAUACUAGAGGACACUAGAUUUCUCGGUGCAAAACCUUCUUCAUUCCCAGUCGAUCAAAACAUAUCAUUGACUCAAGAAGGAGGAGAGCUCCUCAUUGAUCUCUCUCAAUAUCGGCGUCUUGUAGGCAGGUUAAUAUGUCUGACCAUCACAUGGCCAGACUUAGCUUAUGCCAUGCACAUCCUAAGCCAGUUUAUGAAAAAACCACGGCAGCCUCAUCUAGCAGCAGCUCAUCAAGUGCUUCGUUACAUCAAGAAAGCAGCAGGUCAGGGUAUUCUUCUCCCAUCUACAGGAAGAAUUGAACUCACUGCUUAUUGUGAUGCAGACUGGGCGCGCUGCAAGGAUACAAGACGUUCCAUCACUGGUUACUGUGUGUUGUUAGGAGAUGCACCAGUUUCUUGGAGGACCAAGAAGCAGAGCACUGUGGCUCGAUCCAGCGCUGAAGCAGAGUACCGUUCCAUGGCAACAACAAGCUGUGAGGUGACUUGGCUCAAAAGCUUGCUCAAUGACUUGAGAGUGAAACAACUCAAUCCAAUUAGAAUGUACUGUGACAACCAGGCUGCAUUACAUAUCGCAACCAACCCAGUUUUUCACGAAAGGACAAAGCACAUUGAGAUUGACUGCCAUGUAGUUCAUGAGAAGAUUCAAAGAGGUUUGCUCAAAGCUGUGCACAUUGGAACCAAGGAGCAGCCAAUGGAUUUAUUCACUAAGCCGCUCGGAUCAGCUCACUUCAGUACACUACUUCACAAGUUGGGUGUAAUUGAUAUACAUUCCAACUUGAGGGGGAGUAUUAAAGGAAAGGAUCCUACUGUACCUUAACCAUUCAGUAGAUAAUUGGUAGAGUUGUAAUCCCUUACUUUCAGGGUUUAUAGUUUCCUUGUAUAACUAGAGUUAGGGUUUCACCCUUCUAAGGUUUGUGUAUAUAUACCGAUGUAAUUGCACAUCAUUGAAUAAUAAUACAAGCUUAUUCCAGUAUCAAACUCUUUAGUUUGAAUAUAUAUCGGUGAGUAUUGAGUAAGGAAACUUAGAGUGAGAAAACUAUGUCAUAGUUUUACUUGGAUUGGGACGAGCAACAAAGUAUUUUUUUAUAUUUUUUUUUAUGAAUAAGAGCUUUUCAUUAAAUCCAAACCCAAUAACUUACAAAUACAAAGAAUAGUAAGCAAAGAAACCAGGUAAGGGGAAAACAACAGUCUUUGAGAAUAUAUGGUCUGAGUUUACAAGAUUAAAAAAGUAUAUAAAUAGGAAAAAAAAUAAAAAGAAAACAAAAUAUAAAGAAAUAGAUAAUGGAGAAAACCCGAAACCACCAUUUGAAAAAUGAGAAAUUACAUAGAGUUAACAAUGUUAUUGACGACAUUGUUAAAAGCGUGUCAGCUUUUAAACGUCAUGUACCAUUUUGAUUGUUUUGAAAUUUAAACACCAAAAUUUAGAGUAGACAGUUUGUCAUGUACUGUUUUUAAAAUUUUCCCUAUUCUUUUUGGUUUUAUGCUAUUGUCCGUUGUCCCUCAAGUAUACAGCCUUCAAAUUUCAUUUUCUUGUCUUUUAAGAAUUUUUUUUUCCUUAUUUGCCCAAUCAAGUUCUUGGUUUUGUACUGUUGCUUUUGCCAAAGCUGUUGUUCUAUGCCUCUAUGGCAUUGAGGAAUCUUAAUGUUGUGAGAUGCAAUCAUUCAAUGGGGGUGGCCGGGUGGGUGUACGUUUAGCUUCUAUCUAAAUAUGCUAUAAUGUCUUGUGUGAAAAAAAUCACUAACAAUGUGUGUGGAUACUAGUGAGUUUCUGAAAAUUUAAAUAAAAAUAAAAAAUUCUCGAUUUCUUAAGACUAUUUUUCCCGUUUGGAUUCUUAUCUCGUGGAAUUUGAGAGUUUAAACUCCUAACUUGAAUUUCUCACAAAAUAGGUGUCAUUUGUCAAUUCUUUUAACUGAGGUUAGUCUAAAUACAAAUUCUUGUCAUUUUAAAACUCUACCUCAUGAAAUCCAAACAAUAGAAUUAUCAAUUAAUAAAAUUUAAAUUCAUAGGAUUAUGAUUUCCAUGAUUUUAAAAAUUAUAUAGAAAUUGAAAUUACUUUAUCCUAACACAACAUUAAAAGCGUUACUUUUAUCCUAACAUAACGUUAAAAGCGUUACUUUUAGGGUUUUUAACAUUAUAGCUUGCUUUUAACUAAAAGUAAAAGUAUUUAACAUCGAACUUUCCUCAUAUUUCACGUGGGCGGUUUGUAGACUCGUGUUGUUUAUGCUUUUUUUUUUGGUUAAUCGUGUUGUUUAUGCUGUUGAACACUUGAUCAUAAGCAUCUUAUCCAAAUUAUGGCAGAAAUGUUCAUGUUUAUUGUAUAAUUUCACUUUUAGGAUUCAACCAAUAUAUAUACACAAUGUGUACUAAACAAUAGAAAGGUCGUGUAAGGUACUUGGGGACUUUCUGGACUAGAUAAUUAGGAUAGUUUUAACUUAAUUUCAAUGCUAAAGUAAUCUAUAACCAAAAGCCAAAUCUUAGUAAGCUUAUCAUAUAUUCCAUGAGUAUAUAUUAAGCGACAAACUUGCACCCAAUACUAGAAAGGAGUUGAUUGAUUUGGCAGUUGGCACUUGUAGAUAGUAGAUACCUAAUUAUCGGUGUCCCUUCCUCGGUACGUCUAACUCGGUAGUCGGUAGUAUCCUUGAUCCUCCUGCAUGAAGGUGCUACGCUACUGCCCUAUCAUUAACGCUAAUAUAUACUUUAGCUUAGUAUUAACAUGAUGAUCAUUUUGUGGGAUAAUUAAGGCGGGGAAGCUUUUUGGUUUAUGAUUAGAGUUUGAGAUUCUAAAACGGGAUUGAAAACGUCUAAUCUUUGCCACUGCAUCUAUCGAUCGGUUCUAUUAGUUCAUAGGUUUAUGAGACCACUGAUGCACAGUCAUAGUUUUUCAUGUUCUAUAUAUGGAUGGCUGGCAUGUUAGUGAUAAGUACCAAGAGGCCAUUAGGCAGACCAAAACAUCAAAUGAUAGUGAAGAAAGUUGUUUUCAUCUUUGAAUAGAAUAGCACGGAGCAUAUAAUUAUGAAAAACGCUUCGUUCUGUUGGCCGACAACAUAUAUUGGCCUUUUGUUGUACUCUAAUCUUUAGGCUAGCCACUAUGGACGGAGGGAAACUGUUUGUGCUCAGAUUAUGCGAGAUGCCUAAUUAGUUCCUCUAUCUUCCACACUCAAAUCGAUUCCUCAGAGAAACGAAACCAGACCACACUUUGCAUCUUAGGUCAUAAAAGGCAACAGAAUGAACCAGGGAUUGGCUUCACUGGUUAAGACUGUGUUUCUAACUUCACGGUUCUGUUCUUUUGUCUAGUUUUCAUGCUUUAUUUUCAGUUCUUGUGUGUUUUAUGUUGUUUCUUUGUCUCUGGUUCUCUCUUGCUGUAAGGUCCUCUGUUUCUAUCAUCUAUUGAAUACCAAAAAUAAUAGAAACUUCACAGAUCGGCCCAGACCGAAGCAUGCAUUGAUGAUAUUAUACUCGCACCCGUGUAAACAAGAUUGUGCUUCAUCCGGAUAGAAAUUUUGCUGUAUUUUUCCCUAUGUUGCACGGACACGGCGACACGGUAAAACUUAAAAACUGAGUUUCCGACACGGCUUGGACACGAAAAAUAAAUAAUAUAUUUAUGUAUUUUUAAUACAUACAAAAUAUACUACAAUAUUAAAUAAGUUCAUUACAUUACCUAAAUCAUGUUCUAAAUUCAAUCUUUUUUCUUUCUUUUUUUGUCUAAAUUCAAUUCAUUGCAUAAGCAUAUUAAAAUAACAUUAAAGAGAAUCAAAUGCAAGUCAUUAAAGAGAAUUAAAUGGGCAGUUCUGAUGUAGGUUGGGAAAAAAAAGGCAUCAACUUAGUAACACAAUAGCCCUUUAACACCUAAUAAAUAAGAAAAUUUCAAUCAUUCCAUAAUCCAUCUAAAUCUUUUUCUUUUUAAAAAAAAAUUUAAAAUUUAAAAGAGUGCGGCUAUUAGGACCUCCAAGUUUGCUCACUUGACCUCACUGUAUUGUGAAUUAUUAAAUGACAUAUUUAUCCUCUUACACAAUGACUGUUAAGGACACUAAUUAUACAAAAAGUAAUGUUACAUUUAUUCUCUCUAAACUUUCUAAUUCAAUAAUAGUGGAUUGCCUUUUAUUAUUUUCCUUAUUGAUUUUUAUUUUCUAGUUUACCAUACUUAUUGAAACAUUUAUAUAUUUAUAUUAUCAUACAUGUCACAUGCUUAUACAAAGUGAAAAAAUAUUUUUACAAAAAAUUAUGAUCUAUCAAUUAUUAAAAUAUUUUAUCAUCAUGACUAUAAAAACGAAAAAUGUGUAUAUGUAAAAUAGAAAUACAAAAAUAACAAAAAUAUAGAAUAGUUCAUGUAAGAACAUUCUUUUGAUGACCGAUAGAUAAAAAUUUGAAACACAAUAUUUCUUCUUCUUUUUUUUAAUUUUUAAGAGCAAAUAGUAUAUAUUAAUCAUGAUUCGAAUGAACUUUUCUCGAAAAUGGAUGUCAUUGAAAAUUAUUUCUUACAAUUUGAUCAAAAAAUGAAUGUCUCUAGGGACAUUUUAUGCAAAAUAAAAAAAUACAAAAAAUAAAGAAAAUGAAGAAAUCAAGGUCGGGAAUGAAGAUUUGCGUUAAAAAGAAAAAAGAAAAAAAAUUAAAGAAUGGAAGUCGGGAAUGGAUGUUCGCAUGCAAAAAGAAAAAGAAAAAAAAGAAUUGGAGGUAUAGUGAGUGAAUAAGAGGUGUAAUGAGUAAUAUACUAAUAUAUAUGUGAAUUAUAUAAACAAGACUAUUUAAGAAUUUGAAAGGAGGUCUAAUAAGAAAAUGUUUGUAUUUAAAAGUAAAAUGGAGGUGUGGAGAGAAUGAGAGGUAUACUGAGCAAAUUUAAAGGUCUCAAUAGCUGCACUCAACUUAAAAUUGAUGAUGUGACAUGUUUAAGGCUGAGGUGACGUGUCGGGACGUGUCGAAAAAAUCAACAUUUUCCAACACACCACAUGACGUGUCAGACACAUGUCAGAGCCAUGUCACCGCGUCAGACACUCCGACACUCCAGGGAAUGAAGUGUCCGUGCAACAUAGAUUUUUCCCAAGUAUUUGGUUUUCUGUAAAAGAUUAUAAUUAAAUUAAAUUAAUAUGGAAAUCUUUUUCAAAUAGAUUCAACCUUCUUCACAAACAUUGUAGGUGUGCACUGAAAGUACAAAGUUCACGCUCAUGACACCUUUGCACAUACAAGGAUCACAACCAGCAUAAAAUAUAAUAGAGCAGCUGACUAGAAUUUCUGGAUCACUACUGAAUUGGCAAGACCUGCCUGUUCUAUUGUUUGGGUCGGAUCAUUGAGGAUUUUAGGAGGGAACCCCAUCACCUGCAACUGAUAAUUACUCGGACUCCCAGGCCUAGAUGUCUCGACAAAGGUGCGAAUGUCACUGAUGGUGUGAUGGUAGUUAAAUUGUGCAAUCAUACGGGUGCCAUCAGCUAGCCUAAGCUGAACUGAUGUGGUUGGCAAAUUUUCAUCCACAACUAGGCCGAGGGAUGGGGUUGGACCAGUACUUAGAGGAGUUGUUGAAGAGGUUGGCUCAGAAGGCACUGCUCCUGAGCUGCUACCUAGAGUUCUUCCAACACCCUGAAAUGCAACUUGACGCUUCACCGCUUCCUGCAAAGUGAGAUAUAUCAAGGCCUUGUAAGUAACAAAUUUAGCAAUCCCCCUAUGAAACAGGCCAAGUUGAAUGCAUUUGACAUUAUUGAGAUGCAUUUGCAGAUUUCAUUAGGAACUUUCUAUUACAAUACUUUUGCAUGGGGGUUACAUUGUCACGCACAAAGUAAAUCUUUUAGAGAGAAUACUCACAGGGUAUUUCUCGUUCCGCCUAAUCAGAUUGACAUGAACUGCAGUACUUCUGUCUUCUGGUUCUAACUCCCUUGGACAUUCAGAUUUUCGGAUGCUCUGUGUUGAGACAGGAAAAACUUUAGCUGUAAAACUAAAAAAUCACUGCUGAGAGUACCAAGAAAACAGAAACGGUUCUAGAGAUAAAAAAGAACUACACACGUCUAAAAGCACAUAAAUCCACAGGAGUGAUCAGAGUCAUCAAAUUAUGUAACCAUAGCAGCAGAAGCUAAGAGUUUAGAGGCAUAGUUUGAUGUACGGCCAAAGUUUAAAGGAAAUCAAUCGUCAAUAUCAUGGCCAGCUAUGAGGGGAUCAAAGUGCCUACCACCCCAAAUAUUUGGACAUCCCAAAAUACUUGUUUUAAGGGAUGCAUAAUUUUAAAACUCAAGUCUAGCUUACACACUAAACAUGUAAUGACUAUUUAACAGUCCCACACUCCUUUAUACGUAUUCUAACGAGUACAUGUCUUCUGCAAGCAUAAGUGGACUCUAGAGUGUUAACAACAAUUCUCAGAAUACAACCAAACAUCAUACAUUAGCUAUGGAUAUAGGGUCCAACUUAAUUGGCGCUCCUCAAAUCCCCAAAAUUCCGACACAACUCCGGAUCACUAAGAGUCAUUCUACAUCCAUCAUAGUUUUUUUCUAUCAGUAAAACUUCCAAUGCCAUUACCUCUAAGAACGGUGCAUUUUCAGGAUCUUCCAACCGCCUCAACGGUCCAUCAUUUACACUGAAACCAUCACUCCAGAAAAUGAUGUUAUGCACAACAGUCUCGGGCUGCUGCGGAGCAGACUGUAUAGUCUCCCCGGAGAGUAGUCUACCCGUUCCGGCAAAGCUCCUCGAGCUCGAGGAUGCAGAAGAAGGAUCAAUAGGUCCCUCCACCGCUCCUAACUCCCUAGCUUGAUUAAAGAUCGAAUCCACAUCGUUGUUGCCUUUCGUCGGAUCCUGAACCAGCAUUCCACUGAAGAAGAAAAAAAUAAAAAUAAAAAUUGUACCCACAAAUAUUAAACUCUCUCUCUUCACACAUUUCACUCGAAACCAUCACAUCUUUAGAAGAGAAAGUAAAACCGCAGAUUUCGGAAUCUAAUACAAAAGAUUUGCUACUCACAAGCAUCGCACGAACAAAACAGAUCAAAUAGAAAAAGCUAAACUAGAAAGAAUAAGAAUUAGAAUUUGGGAGUACGGGAGAAUCGAAAGGAGGGACCUUUUCUCGCCGCCGGUGUAAUACUCCUGGGGAGCAUCGGAGUCGCUGUCGGAGUCGGCGGUGGGCCGGUUCAGAUCGGAAAGUGUACGGAUGCCUCCGGUUCGGGGUUUCGAGGGUUUCUUGUUGUCCUUGGAGGCCAUUGCUAGCUGAGAUUGAGCGAUCUCGAUUCUUGACUUCAGCUAUGUGAGUGCGUCAUUUCCCCUAAAUAAUGUAUUCCUUCCACGCGCUCGUCAGAGGCGCGUGUAGAACCUCGCUCCAAAUAGCGGGUAAAAAUGAGGUUCGCGCGGUAAAAUGUGUCCAUUUUUGUGCGAUCAUUGAAAUUUCAUAGUGGUACGAUCAAAAUUUAGAAUUUCUGGUUAGAUUUAUGUUGCUUAAAUUUUCUUAAAUAACUUAUAAUCAUUGAAUUGAAUACAAUCUAAGACCGUCAUGUCAUCCUUAUUCUAUCUAAUGAUUAUAAGACAUCUAAAUAAAUUUAAGCAACUAAAAUGAAAAACAUAAAAGUGUUACAGAUCCGUUACAAUCUCACUAAUGGUAAAAAACAUCAUUAAAAUGAAAUAAAAAAGAUCAUUAAAAAUAAUUCAGGUCGAAAAUUUCAACUAAAGCUCACUAGAAUUCAGAUCAUUAAAAUUAAGCUCUCAUGCUUGUACUGUCAACAAAUGCGAUCCCAAUUUUAAAAGGGAAUGUACUCAUUGAUGAAUGAUAGAACAUAUAAACAAUCCUCGUAGUUAGACUAAGGGAUGGAGGUUCUCUCCCAUGAUUAAUCCCUAAUGAAAGGGAUGGGCAUUAUGAUAUACAAGCGUACAGUACUAUAGCUCAUCUAGUAGCUUCAGUCGAGUACAACGCGGGCCUUCUUUAUGUCGGACUUGGAAUUUUGGGUUUGUUGGCGCGGGGAGCGGAGUAAACCCUUGUGACGAUUCAUGGCACUCGCUAUGUAUUCCGGCAGAGGAGGCAGACGGAUUUGGUCUCCGUCUUUGGGAACUAGUCCUCGGAUCAGCUGUCAAAACCAGUAAGAGAAGUUUGUAAAGAAUGAAGACUGCUGGGAAGGAGGUUCUGAAACAACGAUAUACUAUUACCUUUGAUGCCCACGACCGCUCUGCUUGUUGACACACGUCUCUGAUAUCCCUUCCGGACAUCCUGACAAUGGUUGGGGACGAUUAGACAACGGUUAACGGUUAUGAGUUAUUUUCAGUUGAUUUCAAAAAUCUCUCAUUAUCAGAUGGAACAGAGAGAAGGAACAUGUGUACAAAUGCUGACAAGGGGAUGAAUAUUUAGACAAAUUAAAUUUCAGUGGAACUUACUCUUCUGUUACUGUUGCCAAUUCAUCUAAUUCAGGUUGAGUUAGAUGCUUUGCAUAUUGAGCUGCUAUUUCCUUACGAUUUUGAUGAUCAGGUAGGCCAAAUAGGAUAAUUGAAUCAAACCGACUGCACAGAAGUGAAAAAAGGUUAGUGGAGAAUCCUGGAAAGUUAAGAGUAGUUUCAUUUGCUACAUCUUCUACACGAGAAAACUAAAACCAAUAUACCUGAUCAAGGCCGGGUCAAGGUCUUGCUUCCUAUUUGUCGCAGCAAUCACAACCACUUUCUUAUCCUGUUCAAAUCCAUCAAUCUGCAUGGGAAAUGGUUUAUUCAAUAAGGGCAUCACAAUAGCUUCGUAACAGUCUGUCCAAGUGGAUCAUAGAAAGAAAAAGUCUCAGCUCUCUUUAUUGAGGUUUUGAACCUAGUAGGAAGUUGGAGCCACCGUUUGGAUCAUGCAACCCUUUCGCUGAAUGGUGACUCUAAAAUUUUCUCAAACCAUUUGAUUAAUACGUGUUAAAAGGUUCAUCCUCUUCAUAUUGAAAAGCAAUAACAAUCCAAUUAUACCUGCCGCAGCAAAACUGAUAAAACUCUCCGUGUGGCUUCAUGCAAAUCACUAUCUCGCGAAGUAGCAAAGGAGUCAACCUGGAAUUGCAUCGAGUAGGAAGUCAUGUAAAAGUCUACAAAAUAUAAAAUACAAAUAGAAUACAAAAAAUAAAAAUAUUAUUGGUUGCAGAGGUAUCACAACAACACUUGGAUGCAUAUUUCAAAGGUUGGCACAAAGCAGUAAUUACAUCAAUUACCUCAUCAAGAAAAAUGAUAGCACCAUUUGGGAGUUCAUUAGCAAGUGAAAACACCUUGCCUAAUAAUCGCUCACUCUCACCAUAGUACUUUGACAAGAUAACCUCAAGGGGCACAUAUAACAUUGGGACGCCCUGCAAAAAUACGCUACAUUAACUUUUCUUUUCUUUUCCAAUUGUUCUGGCAGUACAGUCAUUUGUUUAAAGGGAACUUGCAUUUCAGCUGGGUGCAAAACCUUUGCAAAGAUAACUCCGCUCACUCAAAAAAGAGUGAUCAUCAAAUCAAGCAAGGCAUGUGAUAUAUUCUACAGAGUGAGACAAAUCAGAACUUUCCAUAUUUUCGGAAAAUGGGAGUUCAUCUACAUGCAAAAUCUUGACCAGAAAUAUUGAUAGUCAAACCAAGCAAGUCCUUGAAAAAUUGAUAGUCAAAUCAUAUGUAUACAAGAAACAAAGGUGAUUAUGCUACUGGCAUGGAAUGUUAAUUUCAUUAACUUACUAAUGUUUAGGCGUUGACAACUAUGAUCUUUAAUUAAGAUAUAAGGUAAACUAGUUAUUAGACAAAAGAAGAAAUGCCUAGGAGCUCACCGCUUGAUUAGCAAUGACACGAGCAGAAGAAGUUUUCCCUGUCCCUGAAAUUUAAGAAAUGUUCUAAGUUUGACAUGUGUUAAUAUUUUCACAUGUUUCAAAAACAAGCACAAAAGUAUGGAUAUCUCACAUGCUCGUAUAUAAAAAUAAAACUAAGUUGUUCAACACAGCCAACUUUUGAUGAAAAUUUUAUCUGUUCAACUCAAAUAAAAGGACUGUUACUACAAGAAAUACUGACGAAAAAUAAUUAAGGGGACUUUUCCCUAACAUGUUUGUACUAAAUAUACUCCCGGGAAAUAUCUGCUCCAGGUAUAGUGCUUUAGAGCACCAAAAGAACUACAUGCUUCUUUAGACAAAUGGAUCAUUACAUGCUCUAAACACAAUCACAAACAAGAUUCAGAUAUACAUGAAAUACAUGAAUCCUCUAUGUCAGUAGCUUAGUUCAGUAAAGGAAUCAUCUCAAAUAUAUUGAAUAAUGUUUAAUCGAAAGCACCUGGUGGGCCUUCGAAAAGUACAGCUCGAGGUCUGUUUGACUCAUAUUUGCGACGAGUUCCACGAGCAAUAUCAUCAUAUGUUUCAGGACUAAGCAAAGCCAGUAGUAUCGUGUCUUCUAUCUGUCUACAACAUGAGCAGUGGCAGUUCAAUAUAGGUACUAUAAUUAGGUAUUCUUGAGCACUAAUGCACCCAUAUGAGCCUACUCAAACAUAAGCAAUCAAGAGAUCAAGACAGAAAAUAGGUAAGAAAUGAACUCAUUUAUAUUUUGUAUCACCAAAUAUGAAUCAGUGAUAUAAAAAUAAAACUCGAUCAUAACAUCAAUGUUAUUGCAAGAUAACAAAAGGCAAUUGAGAUUCAUGCACAAGAAACAAUUUCAUCUCUCAUACUCAAUAUCAGAUAUGCACCCUCAGUGAUUGCUUAAUUGACUGCUUUUUAAUGUGACAACCUCGGAAAGCAGAUAUGUUCAUUAGUUGCCUAACGCCUGAAAAAGUCAUUGUUUACCACCAGAAAGUGGUGUUGCUAUUGCUGUUUGCUAGAGAUGAUAACAACUCACAUCCCACUUGAAAAGAAAGACCCAAAAAUCAAAUUUGCACAUCUAAACAAAAUGUUAAAACAUCAUGGAUUUUUGUAUAUAUCAUCACUUACCUCUUUUGCAGAUCAUAUCCAGCAAGAUUAUCCCAUGAAAUAUCUUUGCUUGCAGAACUCACAUUGGAUUCAUCAACUCCAUAAACUCUUACUCCCAUGGACUCUAGACUGGUUAUUAAUUUCUCUAUAGCUGAAGUUUCUGCACUGCCUUCCCUCGCUCUUCGUUUUGUGGUAGAAGUAUCAUUUUUCUGGUGGAUGAAGCUCUUCUGUGCCCCAGCUAGUUGUAAAGCUGAUAUUAGAGCAUCAAGUUCUUCGAGACUCAAGCUGCCCUGCUUCAUAAAUUCAAUUUCCUGCAAUAAUUUAUGUUGACUGAUAUGAAAACCCCAUAGCAACAGCUUCUUUACUUUUGUAAUAUUGAAGGAGCUCAAAGUGAAACCAAAUGUUUCAAAGAGAAUACUUCCAUAAACUGCAAAAAGCUAAAGACUCACGGUUUUUUCUGUUGAGGAAAUGACUGAACGGAAAACAAGGAUGUGCAGAUCUCGCUCAUGCUCAUUCACGUCUUUUACUUCCCCCUGAUCACCUUCAGUUUUCUUCUUUUUCUCUGGGUGCAUAAGCAUUAGUUGCCAAGCAACUCCACUGACAUAGUUUACCCAAUAUAGAUAACACUGCUUAGUACAUCUUGCUUAAUGCAACAAUAAAGCCAAAUCGCUCAAAAAGGUGCAAGCCAAAAUAUAAAGGUAAAAUUGAGUAUACAUGUAGGACACUAGGAAUUAAUGGUCUAACACUACCUGUCCCAAGCGCGUAAUGAUAUAUCUGAACCACCGCCAUUCUCUUCAACUUUCAAGCCAAGAUUAGAAGCAAUAUUUGCAAUCACUUGUGAAGCUUCACAUGAAGGAGGAAUUUGGAACUUGACGGUUACCUAUACCCCAUUAAAAGCUCAUUAGUGUUCAUACUUGAAGUAAUAGCUACACACAGAUUCUGAUAUGAGAAGAAACCAUAUAUAUACAAAACUCAUGUAGCUCGUAAGACAGUUAACCCUUUCAAAACUCAGUAUACACUAUAUGAGAUGAUGAGGCACUCCUCACAGUUUAGGACAUCAAAUUUAGAAACCGAGUCAGCGUAAUGACUAGCAAGAAUUGCACAGCUAACUUUCUUUUCUUCUGUUAAUGAUGUCUCCUUUGAAGUUUAAGAAAAAACCACUUCUUAAUAUCCUCAAAUUACCAAAGUUGCACCCUCUUGACAGUAAGAAGAAUUUUCUUUUACUACCUACUGUACCUGGCCGUUUACUAAGACUUAAGAAGAGGACAUGGCUAACAAAUGCAUGUGCGGGUCUAAGCACAUUUAAACAGAAACAACCAGACAUGUAAGGCUGUAGCAUUUCACUAACCUUUUGCCCCUUGACAGAAACAGUAAAGUUGGGAUAAGUACCACGUCGCAUCCCUUUACUCUUGAGCCGGUCUUCAAUAUCUUGUCUCUGUUUCUUGGCAAUGUCCUCCACAUUGUUACUCACAGGGGCAUCAGCAGGAAAACCCUGCUUCGAAGCAGCCUGCAGAAACCAAAAUCAACAAGCAAACUAAGUUCCACACGGCAGGCGCAUCAAAAAUUCACAAAAUCCUCCAACAAAAAAUGCAAAUGUACCUCCUCAGCAUCUGCAUAAGCCACCUCCAAACCUCCAAGUCCAAUCAAACCGGCCAAAACAGCUGGAUACAUGAGAUACCGCCCGCCGGGACCACCCCGGCCUGGCACAAACUUCGGCACUUGAAUUUCGGAUGCAUCGGAAUGAUAUGGCUGCUCAAAACACCCUGCAUUUUCAUCAAUCAAAAGCAUAAACAUCAAACCUAAUCUUUCAUAGAACUCACAGAAACUGAACAUAAACACAUCGACAAGAACAAGCAGCUACCACAUUACACUAAAUCACUAGCAUCAAAUUCAAAUAUACAUGAACCAUUCUUGGUCAUAUUGAUAUAGUUCAAAUCAUUCACAGAAAACAUCACAAACGACAUGUCGCUCGUUAUAAACAAACGACAAUAAUGCGGGCUAGGCGGAGAUGUCGUGCGUUAGGCGGUGACAGGUGGCGUGGGCCUAUACGGGGUAGGGGUCCACCCUUUAAAAGGAAACAAAACAAAAAACUAAAACUGAAGCAGUUCGAGCUAGUGUUCUCUCACUCCGCCGUGCUCCACCGCCCCCCGACGCUCUACACCGGCGGAUCCGAUGGCUCCGCUUCCCGCCUCGGUAACCUCACCCUCCCUCUCUCAAUUUCAAGCUUGAGUUUGUAUGAAUGAAUUGAAUUUCUGUAGGAACUAUAUGAGAAGGCGGAAGAGAUGGUGAGGAACUUACGGUGGCAGAGAAGGCGGACGUCACGUGAGCAGGCACGUGGAGGAGGGUUUAGGCUUUGGGGGACUGACCACCGUGUACGAGCUGUUCUGAGUAUAAUUCGUCGGAAAAUGGUCAUGGUUUCUCCCUCUUGAGCUUAUAGAGUUGAGAAUGACGAAUUGGGCCAAAGCUUAUAUAUAGGGCGCAGCACCGCCAUACGAAGGCGGUGAUGCUUGCGUUGAAUGUGGGCCGGAAAGCCUUAUGUUUAAGAUGUGUCCAUCUAUUAGUUGGGUCAAGUUUGCCCGCAGCCCACAAUUACCGGGCUCUCUUUGAAGAUUUAAGAGUUUUUCUCGAACUUUUACAAAUUUUUUUAUUACUUGAUUCGAAUCUAUAUGAGCGAUGAAUCAAUUAAACAAUUCAAAUGUUACAACUAAUCUUUUGUGAGUCGAACUCACGACCGCUCAUUUAUAAAAUAAUACUGGGUAGUUUCGAUUUAUUUAACAUCUUUCAUAUUGAGUCUGCUAAUAUAUACGUUCAUUUGUUUCAUUAUUUCAAAAUGAAGAAGAGUUGAAAUGUUGAAUUGUGUUUUUAAUCAAAACCUAAUGUCAUAUUGUACCAAUAUGCAGGACACCAUCCACAAACUUUGAUGCCUUGUCAUUCCUCCCCAUACAAGAAUGUAGUCAUUGAUAAUAGACCAUAUGCUGAAAUGCACAAUCGUUGUUGUUAAGCUAAUACCAUUGAUAAUAGAUCUCUACUUUAUGUAAGAAUUCACUUGUUUGUUAAGCAAACUACCAUUUUUCACUUGUGUUGUGAAAUUAAACGUAGCAAAGAGUCGUGUGUUUUGAAUGGAGACAUAGAACAUCAGUAAGAACUCGUUUUUGUACUAAUUUUAAGAUGGUUUUAACUUGAGAGUAUGACUCCAUUUUGAGAAGGAUGAGUUUACCAUAACAGUCUAAACAGAAGAAGCCAUUUAUAUUUAACGCACUGAAACAGAUUGACAUAUGAGUUCACACAAUUUCUGGAAUUCAUGGCCUGGUUUUUGUUUGGCCGUAUUAUAGAAGGAUCAGAAAGCUGGUUUGGGAUUUGGAAACAUGUGUCCGCCGUUCCCAAAGUUGAAAGUGAAAACCAUGUAUUCCCGUGCAGAUGUUCAAAACCACCCCAAUACAAAAACCUUUCUUUUAAACUACACAAACUGCCAUCUUGUGUCAAUUUCCCAUACACUUUCCACAAAAUCUGCUCCAUUGUCUUCCUCUUCAUAGUCCAUACAAGAAAACUUCAUCAAGUUAGAGAGUAAAAAUGAGAAAUCUAAACUCGGAAUCUCAAAGAACAAGCAUACCAGUAUAUGUUUUUAACCACCAUCGUUACAUGUCUCAAAAAACAAGCAUACAAGUACAUGUUCUUAACCACUAUGGUUACAUGUCUCAAAGAACAAGUUCGUUCGGAACUAGUGGGCUACCGUUAACAACUAUGGAUAUGAGUUACCAGAGCACGAUCAUGGGGGGUUACCAGAGCACGAUCAAAAGCCUAGAACUUGUAGAAAGUAACCAACUUUAUACAUGGGUAAAAACAUCACGCUACAAAGGGCAGAGUGCAUCAUCACUUUUGAGACUACUGGGUUUGCUUUCUAAUGCUUGCAUAUGAAGUCAAGCUAAUACCUACUGGUACCAGAAACAAUGAUGUAUCCCAGUCAAUAAAGUCAAUGCUAGCUUCAAAGCUACACAUCCUAAUAGAAUAAGCACAUUCAAACUUGAACUGAAUAUUAAACCCAGAUGAAUUAUAAAAAAUAAAAAUAAAAACCCAGAUGAACUAGCACUUUCAGUUCAUCAUCUUUUAGAGCAGAUAAUUCCAGAAAAUCCAAACAAAAGCCAACCCAUUUCUUCUGUCAACGAAAGCUCUACCUUUUCCAUUUAAUUUACAUGUGAAAAAGAAACCCUUUUAGAGUUAAUAAUGAGAGAAUGAUGCUGAUUACUAGCUUAGUACACCUUCUUAGAGAAAAGGCUGCGCAGAUUAAAAAGAUUACUACCAGCCCCAGCAGCAUUACUAACUCCACCACCGUCAGCGGCGGCGGCGCCACGGUUGUUGGUGUUGCUACCUCCACGGACUCCUACAGCACUAUUCAUGACGUCAUUCCUACAACUCAUCAAAUGGCUUCUAUACCCAAUACAAGUUGGAACAUUCAAGUUCAAGACUCUAGGCUUUGCACCACCUCCGCCACCUCCUACGGUGGUUUUACUCCGGCGAGUUUCGGGCGCUUCUGUUUUGGCGCUUUUUUCGGCAUUUCUGUCGGCGGUUUUGCUCAAACCGGAGGCUCCACGCCGGACUUGCCAAACCGGGCUGCUCCGACCCAAGUGGACCCCGCCCCGACCCGGACUCGCCGGCCACUUCCUCGUCGACUUGGACUCGCCCGUUGAGUUGCUCCUCGAGCACGGCGCGCUGUUCACCUUCCGGGUCCCCGGAGCCCCGAAAGCUGAUUUGGGUCGGGUACAAGCAUUCCCGGCGGAUCUGCUCCGCGAAAACGGCCACAGAUUUAUGUUCAGCUCCGCCGAGCUAGCUCCGGCGGCUGCUCCGCCGCCGCUCUUCCGCUCCUUCUUCUUCUCCUUCUCACCGCCCUCGCUCUUCUUCUUGAACAUGUCCCUCCACCGCUUCGAAGCCGUCAUCGCCGGAGCUCCGGUCGCCACCUGGGCUUCGGGUUCUGGGUCCGGAGCAGAAAUCUCCUCCGGGUCGGGUCGCGGGUUCGGGUCGGGCGGGUUUUUGUAGGCGGGGACGAGGCGGAGUGGGAGAAUGACGCCGUCGACGAAGAGCUCAUCGGCGGAGACGAGAUCAGGUUGCGGGCAAGACGGGUUCUGCAGCCUCCAGAAGUCGAAUUCCGGCGAGCUGGAGUCGGUGGUGGCUCGUCGUCUUCUCUCGGUUUUGGGUUUGAAUCUACGGCUGUCUUCCAUCGGAAAUUAAAGAGUAAAGUAAGAGACAAAUUCUAGUUGGGAAAAUGGGAAGCUCUGGAAAUUGAGGGAGCGUGGUGAGGUCAGGAAGGGGAGUGAGUUUCAGAGAGAGAGGAGCAAGAAGGUUAGGACCUACAAGAACAAAAGAAUAAAGAAAUGGAGGAGGAGAAUUGGGGGGUAUUUAAUAGAGAACCAGAGAGACAGAGAGAAGUGUUGGGUCACUUUGGUUGAUGGGGACGAUGGCUUUUGGGUCCAAGUUUUAUGCAGGGAAGUAGCAACCUUGUGUGGUUUUUAAAACCUCUGGAAAAAAUCAGUAGGGUGAUGCCUGCUUCUGUGUCUCUGAUUAGUAAAUACGUGUGCCCUACGAACUCGUAUACGUUAUUUUGGCUGCAUCACCCAUUGUUACCAUACCAAUGAGGUGAGGUGUUUACUCUGUACAAGUAUACGACAGGUUCGUAUACGAAUAAACACCAUUGUUUGAGUGAUUGUGGUUUAUUAGGUAAAUUUUCACACGGUGAUUAAUGAGGGUGGACAAUAAUUAGAAGAUACAUGUAUGUAUGAAUGAAUGAAUAUACCAUUACGCUAUUACCAAAAUUGCUAAUUAUGUGGAUUUUAGGGUAGUAAAUUACCUUCCAUGUUCAUAAUGUACAAUGAUGUGGCUCUUAGAUCUUAAUUCGUGUAUCUGAUAUGAUUUGGGUUUAAUUAUUUUGAUUCGAUUACACUAGACUAAAUGAUUAUAUGUUAAUGAAAUACAUGUACGCGUACAGGUUUAUGAAAUACCAUAAAUUCUUAUUAGUAUUUAUCACAUCGUCUAGAUUCAUAGGAAUUUUCCCAAUUAACUUACCAAUUACUUACCUCCUCGCCAUUAUUGGAUAGUUAAUCUGUAUUUGGUUUUGAUGAUGAUAUCCCAAUUAUUAAGAAAGUGCUAAUUUUAUCAAAGACAAAAAUACUUCCAAUAAAAGGUGAUAAAUUAACGCCAAAUAAUGCUCACAAUGUGAAGUAAGGCUGAGGUCAUAUGAAGUUGUCUCAUGCAUGUGGGGCUUUAAGAUUUCAAUUUUAAUUUGUGCCUACCCAAAUUAAUCAUGUAACGGCAACUAUUCCAUCUUUAGUGUCAUUCUUAGAGUUGACAUUCACAGCCAUUAUACUCCCUACUGUGUAAUAAACAGUUCUCUGAUCCAAAAUCAUCAUACACAAUCAUAUUACUCUAUAAUUGGAUUCAACAUCCAAUAUGUGCGCAUUCAUGUACCGCGGAUGAUCGAGAAUCUUUCUAUUAUACAUUUUUUUGAAGGAUUACCGUCGACCCGAAAGUUAAUAAGUUAGUUACAACAUUUAGUUACAUAUAUGUCUUUGAUUAACAAAAUUAUCAGUUCGACCAACAAAAAUUAUACGUCAUAAGAUCAACCUAAACGAAAAAGAUAUAUGUAAGCCGGAUAUAGUUAGUUACAAUGUCACACCAUAUACUAAGUACCUCAUUUUAUCGAUUUAAGAAAAUUGUGAGAGUUUCACUGAAAUAUCUGCUUCAUGCUUAGGGAUUUUUCAAAUAUAUAUCUUCCCUAUAUCAGCUAUAUCAAAAACUAUUUUAGCCAUUAAUCAUUGUCAUCACAAUAAGCACCCACGGUGGUACAUGUUCCACACAUCACGCUGAAAUCUCAGUAACAUCCACGGAUCCACCACUCUACAAUAGACAGAAGACGUCCAAGUCGAUCACACAGACGUUUGAAAGAGAUGAAAACACAAUGAUCGAUCCACCUGGAAAUAAAUACAAAAAGUUAUCGAUAUAGUUUUUUGGCCUGUAUUAUCUGAAGCUUUGCUCUCCAACCAUGCAAUGCCACAAGCAACAGUGAAUAAAAUAAGAUCCCACGGUUGGAGUUUUGGAGUUUUGCAUUUUGCAUUCUCUCCGCAAAACAAUAAUAAUACCCAAAAAUUUGCCAAUAUUCCCGAUCAUAAUACUGCUACUUAGGUAAGCAUUUGGCUAGCUAUCACAGAUUCAUUGCCAACUAUAUUAUUGAGUAGGUGGAACCGUGGAACUGAACCUGAUGGCAAAGAUGGAAUUGAUAUUACGAAGAUGAAGAAGAUGAAGAUGAUGAUGAUUGAUGGGUAAGUAGGUGGUGGAGUGUAGUAGUGAAGGUGGCGAAUCCGGUGGACCUGGAAAUGAUCGAGAUCGGCAGAACAGAACAGAACGAUCGGGGAAUGCAUGGCUGAAAAGGGUUUCGUUUCCCUGCUGCUGUCAAUGGAGUUUGUUCGUAGGGAAAAUGAUAGGGCCAUGUGAAUUUGUGAAAAAAGCAAAAAACGACUUAUCCCAUCAAUGCUUUUGGGUCCCCAAAUCCAAACACAGCACUAACGUUCCAACUACUUUCGGGUUAGUGUUCUAGCUCCAUGUUAAGUAGCACAAACCAACAUAAAUACGUAUGUGUAUUAUUCGAAUAAUUUUGAUCUGAUAUGGUUGUACGUAUUUAGUAUGUGCUUCUCUAUGUAUGUUUUGGACUAUUUAGUGUGUGGUCCAUUUGCCAAAAUCCUAGAGGCUUCCAUGACCUACUAAUCCAUCUUCACUAUUGUGUUUGGAUUUACAGGUAGGGUGGGAUUGCAUUUGAUAUGUGUAGGUUAGUAACAUAUUGGGAUGUGUUUAGUAUGAGUGUAAAUGGUGUUCAAAUAUGGUAGAAACCCUAAUAGUGCAUUGAUGGACAUGUUGAUAUUUAUAGCUUGACCUACAAGUGAGAAUUUGAUUAGGGAGAAUUGACAAAUCAAUCCAAAUUAGUGGGGGGAACCCAGCCUGUCAUGCAUGAAGAUCAUAGGGUUCAUGAGGAGGACAAGAACACAUGGUAUAUAAUGUAAGAUGGACCAUAAGAGGUUGCAUUUUCCUUAAUUCUAUUCUCUUGUUCGGUUUAGGGAUUAGGUGAACUCCAUUAAUAUUCCCAAAUAUUGCUAGAUGCCCUUUUGGGGUGUUGACAGCACAUACACAAAACCAUGAGCUAUGACCAUGCAUCUCUCUCGGCUUAAAGAUUUAUAGUUUAGGAAAGCAGAAAAGACUCGAAGAGAUAAGCUACAUGACGGAGAUGAAGUUAUCUAUUUGAGUAUGGCUGACUUUACAAUGCUUAGCUAUGAGUUAUGACUUUCUCGACAGUCGAAAUACCUUCAUGCGAGCCGAUCUAUAAUAUUUAACAUUGAUAUUAAUCUUCAUAUGUCACAUAUCCAUAUCAAUCAGGAAAAUGGAGGCAAGAAGUUGAUUGUGCAUCUUAUUAUUUUCCAGCAGCUCACAAGUUGUCUUGGGGCUAAGACUCGGUUACACAUAAACUCAACGGGUGGGCCUCUAAUACCCACCAAGCAAAGAGAACAAAUAAGUGAAUAAAGAGAAACGAAGUAAAUCUAAGGGGAGAAAGAGAAAACAGGCUCGGCCGACACAGCCAAGAUCAACAUUUUGAUGACGAACGUUCUUAUACAUCCUCUUUUAAUGUCAAAAUUCUACUUCAAAAGCAAAGGAAGAUGCAGAAUGAAGCAUUGAAAUGUUUUCCCAGGAUCAGCAUGGGCUCAGAACACCUUUGGGCUUAAACUUCGAGUCCGAGUUCCAAGAUUAGUGUGUGACUAAGGGAAUUGGAAGCUGGGCCGAAAAAUUGAAUGGGACCUGCAUUGAAAAACUUCCGGUUAAAUUACAGAGAAAAUAACAACGAACAAGUCAUGAAGGUCACAGACAAAUUGGUAAGAAUGUUGAACUCAUAACGAACCAGGACUGAUGUAACGAUUCUUGAUAGCCCACUCAUUCCUUAGAGAUGCAAAUUUCUUGAAUGGAGCAGCUGAAAGUUUAUAAGAAAGUAGUUAAUUCUUGAUUCAAGAUAUGAGAGCCAGUAGUCUAAGAGAGUGAUGAUCAUCACAUGGCAAUCACUACAUUUAUUGACCACACCCUAAUCCUUACCUUCAAGUUCUACCAUUGCCUUCUUGAUCACAGGCUUGAACUUACCUGAAAAGAAAAUUCAACUUUCAGAAAAGAGUAUAUACUUUGAAAGAGAAAGACACCGCAGUAUGAAAAUUCAAUGUCACAAACUUAUCAAAGAGAUUCUGAACAUGAUGCUCAUAUCUCAAAAGAUCCUAAAACUGCAUGAUAACAGAAGUGAAUUGAUUACUAUACCGUGUCUCCUCUCCACAUCCAUCAAUGAAGUCAAUGCGGUGCCACCAACUGUCCAUUCUUCAACAGGGGCAGCCAAAUUUCCAACCUGGAGGCAUCACGUGAUAGAGCACAAAGACGAGAAGACUGUUAGUGCACUAAAGAAACUUCAGUUCUAGAAAAGUGAACAUAAAAACUAAAACAAAGCUUCUUUAGUCUAGGCAACUAAUAUUACCCUUCUGAAGAAGAAUGAUGAUUCCGAGGAACAAACAAACCAGAGAGAUAAGAUAUCGUUACUCACCGAAGAUAUCAACCCAGUCUUUCCACCAUGAAGGAGAGCUCCAGCACCAAAACCCAAUGCAUAGCAGUAGUUGGCAUCAAAGUUGGUUGGUAAACCACAUCUUCCUUCAUACCUGAAAAUAUUAAAAAACAGGUGAGCAAAUCCAACAUACGGAAACCUGAAUAUCUCUUAUGCAAAAUUACUAUGAUGUAGUCAAAAUGAAACAAUUGAUCCACGUUGUGAGCAAAUCAGUUGCCUCAGCCCAGACCAUUGGAAACUAAGCAUAAAGCCAAAGUAUUGUGUUUCUAUAUAUACCCGAAAAAGUGAGAUUUUCCUUGGAAAUGGCCAUGGUAUGAACCUUCCUGCUUCCUCUUUGCCAAGUCAGCCUCAACCAUUUGGAUAAGCAUCUUCUCUGUUUCUAUCUUAGCAACCUAUGGCACAAAAUAUAACUCAUAUGAUGAUGCUCAGAAGAUGGAGUCAAAAGAAAAAAUGUUACUAAACAUACCUGAACAUUUCCAUGAGGAUCUCUUUCGAGCAUCAACUGCUCCUGGAUUGCUCCAGGUAGUAAUUCGAAAAGCUGUAGAGACUGACUUGUGAGUUUCUUUUUCCACAACCCAUCUUCAUCUACAACAUCAUGGGCCAAAAUUUCAUUCAAUUCAGCAAUAAGCUCCUGCACCUGAAAAGAGAAAAGUCACAAAGAUUACAUGUUAGUAACACAAUUAUUUGCGUAGUGAUUUGAUCUUUAAAUCACUAUAAUCAAAGAUCAAGAAUAAUACCUCAGGAAUGAAGUCAAUAAGACCUUCAGGAAUAAGUAUAACACCGUAGUUAUAACCAAAAUCAGCACGCUUCAAGAUUAUGUUUACGAUGUAGUCUGUAACAUUUUUCAGUGUCUGCUUCUUUUCCGCAACCUGCAUCAAAAUAUUAGGUAGAUAAGUACAUCCACUCUGUUCUAAUCAUUGAAAGUAGACGCAACUUUUUUAGAAACCUGGUUUAGUUAGCUUUUAAUACUAAUGAUGUAAUUCUGACCAAUAACUAGACUAAAUUAUUCUAUUCAAGGAUACUGAAUCCUAAAGCCAUGAAUAUUCUACUUUAACAAAGCUGCCACUAAAAAAGUUCUUUUAUAUCAACUUAAUAACAAUGAGUUAUGGACAGCCUGAUGAGGUUUUGAAUUCGUUUUCAACUAGAAUCAGAUGAGCAGAACUUAAAGACUGCUGUUAACCAUCUCAGGAUGAGGAGCGCCACUCUAGUAACAGAUACCAAUGCUUAUUGUGUCAAUUAUUCAUAAUACCACAAUGUUUUCUUUCGUUCCUUUUCUUUUAAUAAUCAGUAGCAAAGUGCAUUUAUAUAUUAAAAAGAAAAUUGCACCUCUUCUCCAAUAAUUGUGAUAUUUGGAUGAGUUUGCAAAGCACACUCUAAUGUAAUGUGUGAAGCUGCACGCCCCAUAAGCCGUACAACUGCAAACACACAUGAAUAACUACAGUAAAUACACUUUAACAAGUUAAACAUAGAUACAUAGCUCUUAUAAAAGUCAUAGUCAUAGCCAUGCAGAAUACAGAGGUAUCACAUUUUACAUGCAGCAGAGAGGAUAUGUGUAUCUGAAAAUUAAGUUACCAUCGUAAAUAGGUUGAUUUACUUACAAUGAUAAUACUUUCCAGUUGACCGGGCAUCUAUCAUGACAUUGCCAAUCAUUUCUGAAUAUAUCUGACAAAAAAAAAAAAAAAUCAUAAACCGAGUAUCAUGACAAUGUUCAAACCAAAAUUGUGGUAAAUGUUUCAAAGUAUUUAAUUGUUGGGGAGUUCCCAGUUAUGAGUCUCUAGCAUUUCUUUGAUAUUUUAAUAAAAACUUAAGAACACCAAGACAUAGUGAACAGGAAAACACAAGUACAAUAUACCAAAUCCUUGCCCACAACAGAUACAAUGUGCUAUCAGUGAUUCUGUAUGAAAUAUAGAAGUUGAAUAGAAUAGAAAACAAGAUGUGAUAUAUGAAUUGAUAUGGAUUAUCACAACAAAGAAUCUUAAUAUGAAUGUACAAUAUGAGUUUAUAAGGAUAAUGGCAAUAAAGAAUGUUAAUAGUUAUAUUCACCUUGCAAGCUGUAUCGAACCCGAAACUCGUGGGGACCUCUUUACAUUUCAAAUCACCAUCAAUAGUUUUUGGGCAACCUAUCACCCGAGUUUUCAAGUUCAGUCCCCUGUUUUAACAAUCAAAGAAAUAAUUACAAAAAUAUCAAUAUCAGAACAAAUCACUCUUCACUUAAUGACAUUAAGGGCUACUAAGUUGAAGAAAAUCUCCAUUGGUGUUUAGGUUCCAGUACAAGAGAGUAAAAGCCAAACAUACAGAGAAGACUGCAUGUUUCCACUCAAAAGUUAAGCCAUGACAAAGAAAUUGGUAAGAAGUCAACAUACUUGAAGUUUUCAGCAAGGAGACAUGCAUUUGUGUUGGAGUCAUCUCCACCAAUAACAACAAGACCAUCCAAAUCAAGCUUCACAGCUGUCUCUUGUGCUUGCUUAAACUAUAAGUCAUUUCCAUUUACACUUGCUUAGAUCGUUAAUUGUUACACAAAUAUAUAUGACAUGAAUUUUCUCACUAGAAAACAAGAGUUACCUGCUCUGGAGUUUCAAUCUUGUCUCUUCCACUACAAAUCAUAUCAAAACCGCCCUGGUGAAACAAAAAUUUUAGCAAUAUGUCAUCAUUUAUCACAAUGCAGCUGCUAUAUGGCCAAAAUUGCUUAACGCAUGGCUAAACAGAAGUACAGUACUUGCAAAGCUUACAAGAAUGUAGCGCCAGACACAUAUCAGCAAGGCCAGUUUUACGUACAAUAUUACAGACUAUUUUCUUCUUACAAUAAGUAGCAGUUAGUAUAACCUUGAUGCAAGUAAACGGUAAAAAUCCUCACCUGAUUUCUGUAUGGAUAAACAUACUCCGGUGUAAGUUCAACAUAUUUUCCCUUCAUGAUACCAGCAGGCCCCCCUCUGAAACCAUACAAUGUGCUCCCCGGGGCACGAUCUUGCAAGUAAUCUAACACACAAAACACAGGUCAACUUCAACCGAAUUCCAAAACAACAGAAAAACAACAAAACUGAAUCCAAUCGCUACUUAAAACUCUCACCGAAAAUUCCAGAGAUCACAUUGUGGCCUCCAGGUGCUUGGCCUCCAGACAACACCACACCAAUCUUCAACUUCUGAUUUGGCAGCGCCGAACCAGAGUCACUUUCCACCAACUGUGCAGAGGGCUGACCGAAAACAUUCGGAAAUAGCUUGGCGAUCUCCUCUGAAAAUCAAAAUUACAGAUCAACACGAUCAAAUACAGAAUCGGAAAAACUCAAAUCCUAAUAGAAUCCUAACCUUAAUCGCUAACCAAAACUAGAACAGUGCAAAUCAAAAUCUAUUACCAUGAAGAACAAUAGUACUACUAUUCAACUAAGGCCAAUUUCUGAAGCAACCAAACGAUGCAGAAUUUCGCGAAUAUUCAAGCAUACUGUAAAUCUCAACUGAUCAACUAAAACCGGCGGAUCCGAAUAGAGACUCAAAGUACGAAACCGACCUGGAUUGCCGGCGGCGGAGCUGGCAGGUCCGUCGAUGAGCUUGAACGGCUUUUUGAGCACCGAGGGGAGAGGAAGCGCGUGGUCGAUACGGCUGGCCUGGACCUCGCUGUAAACGGAGGCGACACGUGGCGCCGGAGACGAAACGCCGCCGUUUUGAACCAGCGAGGGACUCAUCGUCGUUGUUAGAGAGAGAGAGAGAGAGAGAGUGAGAUCUUCACGGAGUUUAGGUGUGACUGCGUCGAAUUGGGUUGGACUCGGACAGUGAGGGGUGUUUAAACUGAGGGGCUGCGAAAAGGGUAGGGUCGUCUUUUACGGGUUUGGAUUCUCCGCCCUGAAAGUUAGCUGCUGGCCUAUUGGGUGUCGGGGUAUUUUGGGAAUUGUGGGAUCGAGAAAUGGGAUUGGUGAGUGGUGUGGUGUGUAGGGUGUUACGGUGGACUGGAGGGGUACGGGAUAAGGGAUUAUGCGAAAGGUGCUGAGGUUAGGUGCUUACCUAACCUUCCGACGGUCGGUAAGGCGCCAAUAGACAGCAAAAGGUAUAUUCCGUAAUCGGUACCGUACAUUUGGUGUUUACAGGUGAAGGAUUCGAUGGGCCGGCCUGUGGUUUCUACCAAAUGAGUAUGAAACUCUAGGCCCAAAUUAUUUGGAUCCACAGCUCGGCUGAUCUGGUCAUGAGUUGCUCCAAAUCAUACCAGUAGUGUUCACCUGGUCAGUAAUUGACCAAGAGAUUUAUGGUCAGUCACCGUUGGAUGUAAAUCACCGUUGGAUGUAAAUCCAAAGGUGAAAAUAAUUAUUUUUAAGUUAAGUUGUUUUGUUUACAACCCUUGGAUGUAAAUCUAACGGUGAUUGAUCAUAAAUCUCUUAGUCAAUUACUGACAAAGUAAACACUACUGCAAAUCAUAUAGGUUGAAUUAUGUGAACUCAUGAGUCAUGACACACGAUUAAGAUCGGUCGUGUUGUGAUGAGCCGAAGUGAGUGUUAGACAGGAUCACUCGAGUGAUUUAUUGGCCCAAGUCCCUAAGAUAAUUGGAUUUGGAUCACCGCUACGUGUGAUUCCAAGCCCAAAAUAAUCGAAACCAAGCUUGAAGAAUCAAAUCGCUUUAAUUGGGGCCGCUCUAGCCCAAGACAUGGUUUGAAACCCUAUAGCAAAGCGAGUAAUUAGCUUGAUUGUAGUUAAGUAGGCUGGAUAUAUAACUACUAAUCAAGUACUUCAGGGAUCAUUAGCAUUUGCUUUACCAAUGCUCAUUAUAGCAACACAUGCCACUUUGAUGGUUAAAGUUAAACAUGAUCAGUCUACCUAAUCCAAAUUGAUAUGAACACAUGCUAAACACUAUGAAUUGCCCAUUCUUUUAGUUUCUUUCUCCCUAUGAGAUUGCUUUGAGUACAAGAUACAGAGAAGGGAAUCCACAAAAGUGAUUCUCACCAACUGUGCAUGUCCUUGUGGGAUUUUCUGCAUAAUUAGAUGAGGCAUCAAGCAGCAUUAAACAACUAAAUGUUGGAGAUAGAAUUGCAUGAAUAGCUCUAUUCAGUUCAUCUCAAGCAUGCUUUGUACCUAUAUACUCCUACGGUACCGUAACCGGUUAUAGUCUUUAACAAAAGGAUUCAUGGAAACCCUACUUUCCAUAUUAAUUAACCAAACUUUCAAGAUCAUAUGCCACCUAAUAAGAGCCUAUAAAGGAAACUAUUGCGGUCCAGGACUUAAACAUCAUGAUCAUGGCUCUAUUAACUAAACGAAUACUGUUCCCCGUUUGCGUUGCUAAUCCUAUGAAGGUGGUGUUGUAAACACAAGACAUAAUCAUGAUCAACGUAGCCCUAGCCCACACUUGCCCCAUUGUGCAUAAAUUUAUUAACUCAUCCCAAAACUCCUUCAAAUUAAGCUUCUCCAACAAUGAAAUCCUCCAGGCAGCACAAGAAGCAACCGCAGCUGAAUCGUAGAGCUCCGAUUCGGGCAUUGUGUUGCAGUAGCUGCAGGCUCAGCGUGUCUUCGUCUUCCGAGCAGGAAGUAGAGAGUUCCAGCACUUCUGAUCGUAACAGGUAUCCAUCUAUAUCAAGCAUAGCGCAUGCCAUGGUUCAAGAGAGACUAGAUCAGGUGAUUAGAGAGAGGCAGGAGGAGGAGGCCACGAGAGCGCAUGUGGAUCGUCGGAGAAGAAAGAACAAAGCAAUAUAUGAUGAUCGAGCACAAGGAACGGGGACUAAAUUUGUGGUAAUGGUUGCGAUGGAAAAGUGUUCCUAUGAUCCGAGAGAAGAUUUUAGGGAGUCCAUGGAGGAAAUGAUAAUGGCAAAACGGAUUGAAGAGCCAAAGGAUCUUCGUAGCCUCUUGAAUUACUACGUUUCGAUGAAUUCAGAGGAGUAUCAUGAGAUUAUACUCGAGGUGUUUCAUGAAGUUUGCUCUGAUUUAUUCCUAUGUAAAUGUCAUUGAUCGAUGCACAAUAGAGCAUAUUGAUGAAAAAUAUAUGUCUAUGAUUAAGCAAAUUAAAACAAUGUUUAAUCGUCAUUUUUCAAGGGCCGGGCAUGUGAAUGAGGAUGAUAUUCAUGAAAUCUUAUAUUGAAUUUAUUAUUAUGCUCAUAUAUUUGUUAUACCAUAUAAGAAAUAACCAUAUUAUAUUACACAAAUUCUAUACUUAGUUCCAUGAUUCGGGUCCUCACACAUAUGUGGAAUUAGGGAGUGAAAGCUGUGUAUCUGGUUAAUGGAUCAUGAAGUAUGGCACUUUGAGCAAGCAGCUUCGGUAAGUGGCCAUGGAAGAACUCUUUUCACGACUUUGAAUGUGGUCUUGAGACUCUUUUUGAAGGCCAGGUACAACGGGUACUGCAACAGCGCAAACAUGGUGACCGGAAGAACCGCAACACAGUAUAUAAAAGUUGUAGUGAGGCGCUUCUUUAUCGGAGUCGUCAGCAUCAGAGUGGAGGUAAAGGCGAGGCUGGUGACGGCCACCGAGAAGAAGAGGGAGGUGAAGCCGAGGGUGAGCUUCCGAGGGAGAGAGUGGCGGAAGUCGUCGAGCUCGUACGGUGAAGAAAGGAUGGAGAGGAACAUGGCGAGUGACAUCAGCGAGCUGGCUAUGGAGAGAGCGUCAGUGAUGAUGAAGACCACGAAGAAAGGGCUGUCGAUAAGAAUGGGCUGGCCGUUUCUUCCGCUGUUGCCUCCCGGGAUGGUGAAAGCGGCUGCGAAGGCGACGGAGGCGAUUAGUGCGGCCACCAAGGAGCACGAAUCGGAGGUACGCUCUAGCCAAUUUUGUGCUUCCUCGAGGAGCUCCCCAUGGGUUCGACCAAAGUACUCUAUCGGGGUCUCCUCUUUGCUUUCGUCCCAGCCAAGCUUGCUUACAGAUUUUGGUGGGAUUAUCUUACCCACGUUCUGCAAGUUAAAGAACAAAAUGAAUUGAUGAGUAAUUCUCUGAUACCCGGAACAUCAUGUAACAUGUCAUGUCAUGUCAUGUCAUGUAAUGGUCCUAGCUAAUCAUAUAACUCAAAUCUGAUUAUUGUAAAAAAGAAGGAACCACGUCAAGUUUAACUGACUAAAGUACUACCUUAGACAAUUCCCUUACAGUUUGGUCAUAUUUUCGACGAAGGAACUCUUGGAGCGUCUCUGUUUGUUCAUUAAUGCGGCUGCGGUUCAUUGCAUAAUAUGGUGGGACUAAUUUCUUCACCUCCUGCAAGAUAAGUACCAAUUAGUUUAGCCACUAUGGAUCUUCUUUUUUUUCUUCUCUUUUUUCCGAUGAACCAGAGGUUUAGGCGAGAACUGAUCCCUUCUGUUACAUACAUACCUCAUACCAUUGUAACUCUUCUUGCAACUGAAGUGCAGGACCAUGCUGGGUGCCUCCUUUAUAAAAUUUCAUGUUUCCAACAUAAUGCAGUAUUGUGAAUCCAUGCUUAUCGGUUUGUCGAGCCAACCUUGACGUUAGUUUCUUGUUCCUCUUCGUCACACGAUCAAGGAUGUGCGACUGACGGUGCAUUACAGCGAGGUGCAGUAUGUUCUGCUUCUCUUUGUUUGUAUACUCAAGUAACAAAGGGUGUACUGUAAGUGUCUCCUCCACGAUUUCUAAUAUUCCAUUGCUUGUUGCAAUGAACAAUGGGAUAUCCGGAGUCUCUGUUUGGGAUGGCUUUCUUGUUUCUCCAGCAGCACUUUCAUUCACGCCAUUUUUGGAUUUUCGUGUGACCCAUGAAUAGUCUGCUGCAAUCAGAAUCCUGGCUAGUUCUAAAGCCAAUCCAUGCUUCUUCCUUUCGUCGUAGAUGUCCCUCAUGGUACUCCAUGCUGCAUUAACGAGUUAAUUUAUACAUGCAAUAGUUGUGUGUGUGUAUAUAAAAGAGUAACAUGCCUGAUAAAAACUCAUGGAAAUUAAGAUUGGUGUACCUCGAAGAACACUCCAAACCGAUCUAUUAACUGACCAAAAAAAAAAAACCUCAUCAAAAAACUGCCAGAAGAAAACUUGUCUGCAUUAGUUACAUUAGUAUCUGCUCAUCGAUCAAAUGAUUUAUAAUCACAUACGGUCAUCAAUCAAUUUGCUAAAAUUAUUGAUGUAUAUGCCUACCUGAAGAGAUGACUCUCGUUGGAAACACAGUAGCUGAUCUUUUGGAAUUAUCAUGAAUGGAAUUUUUUUCUAUGAGCAUCUUCUUCGUUAGCAUCUUCAUAUGGAGCACCUACAUUAUUAUGUAAUAAAGACACACACACAUUACACAUAUAUAUGUAUAGUACCUACAUAUAUGUGAUACUCUACUUGUUUACAGAUUUGAACCUAAAAAUUUAGUGAACCUAAAAAUUUAGUUUUAGGUCAAUUUUAGUUGUUAUAUUUAUAUAUAUAUAUAUAUAUAUUUUUUUUAAAUAAAUAUUUUAGUUAUAUAUAUACUUCUAUUAGAGGUAAGAGGUAAUUAACUCUAACCACGAUAGAACUCUCACAAAUUUAUGAAUAAAUUGUUCUCGAUAUGAAAAAUGGUGGCCGGAUGAGCUACCAUUCUGGGGUCGAGAGCAAUUUUAGGUAUGACCCCUCCCUAAAGAUGUUUUUCAUAAGCUGGGGUUUAAAUUAAAUACCUCCUAUUACCAGAAGAAUCUUUGUAGCAUCCGCCCCACUUGCAGCCUAUAAUGCUUCUACUAGACCAAACCCAUUAGGUAAUUUAUGAAUAAAUUGUUAUUGACAUGCUAACUUGGUUCAAUUAUAUAUAAAUGAGUAAAACAAAUGUUAUAACUUUUCUUAUUGUCAAGUAAAUAUUGUUCAGCUAAUUGUAAUUUUGGUUCAAUUUGAUGCAACUUAAAGUAGAUAUCAUGCAUAAACGUACAUAUAAGUAUCAUAAUUUCAUAUACAACCCGGUAUAUGUGUGACUUAAUGUUUUGUGUAAACAAAGAUUAUACAUGAUGAUACAUACAGUUGUAAAUAAUCCUCUUGAUCAAUCCACAUUUCAUUCCACUCUCGAAUGCUGAAGAAUUGGAUGAGAGUAGCUGAAGAGGAGUCAUCGAAUUUUUGUCCUUUAGUUGAACAGUUUUUAAAUAAUCCGGCCUUCUAGCUAUCCAUAGUGCAAGCUCUGUAUAUUCAAGUUAUGGAGAAGAUCAAAAUAUUUAAACAAAAAACUUUGUUCAUAGUAUUAUUGCUUGAAAAGUAAUAAAGCAUCUAGAAAUUACCAAAGAUUUCGGCAUGUAUUGCAGCAUGAAGAAUGGUACUGCGUAUGUGUUGAGGGUCGUAGGAGCAGAAAUGGAAAUCAAGAUCAGGAACAUUUUUCAGUUUUUCAGCCAGCAAAAUGAACAUUUCGGUCUGACCAAAGUGAGCUGCUGUGUAGAGAGGCAUUUCUCCUUUCUUGUUUGGAGUGGACAGCAAAUCCGGUGCCUUAUCCAACAAUUUCUCCACAACUCGUACACAACCAGCUGCUGCAGCUUCAUGAAGAGCUGUGUUUCCAAACUUAUUGGGUUUUGUAAUUAGCUCCUCACUGCUUGUUUCGAUGAUUCCUAUCGCGAUGCUUUCUUUCCCCAUGUAAAUCGCCAUAUGGAGGAUUGUGUCGUCGUGCACUGUUGGCAGUAGCUUUGAACUUGCAUCAGGUGUAUUUGCGUUCGCACAAACUUUCACCACUUCAACUAAAUCACCGUCUCUAUGGCUCUGAUACGGGGAUUUGAUUUGGCUGGAAGUAUGUAUUUCUUCCAUUGUUUAGAGUCAGGGAUCUCGAAAUAGAGACAACUAGCUAGUGUGCUUGUGCGCAAAGAUGUUGCGGAUGAGGCGUGUUUAUAUGCAAGUACAGAUCGGAGCAUUCAGGAACCAUAUGUUUCAUCUUUGUUCUCGUCUUUGGCCAAUUCAUUUGCUUUUCAAAACUAAGCAAGGAAUAAAAAAAGCAAAGUCUCAAGGAAUAAGCAUAUAUGCAUGCAUGAUUCACGAACCACAUUUUUCUUCUCGAGUUGUUUUCUCACAUUUUCCAAUUCAUUUGCUUUUUAAAACUAAGGAAUAAAAAAGUGAAGUCUCGGAGGAAUAAGUAGAGAAGAAAUAUGUGGUUCGUGAAUCAUGCAUGCAUAGCGAUCUUCAGAGUAUCGAUCUCUCAACUGUUCUUGGAAAAGGUGUUGCUAAGCGACAUGCUAAAACCACAUUAGAAGUUUUUACUAUGAUAAGAAAAGUUCGAGAUGAGAUUCAAGGUGAUCUAAAUUUCAAGAAUUAAAAAGUCACAAUUUACUCAUUUUUUUUGAAGUCCUUAUAAAUAAAUAACUAAUUCUAUGUAUUAAGAGAUUAUUAAUUUAUAUAUUAAUUGGGGUCUAUGUGAAUUGUCAUAUUUGUAUUAUCUUAUAAAUUUAACGAAUUUUUAAUUUAACAUGUUAUCCCCAACUCGGGACCGACAAAAAUUAUUAAUUUAGCGAGGUUAUUAAUUAAUUGAAUAUUAAACUAUCGAGGUUCUACUGUAUGUAAGGAAUACAAAAAAGUAAAGUCUCGAGAAAUUAACAUGCAUGUGUGAUUCAUAAACCAUAUUUCCUUUUUUUUAUUUGUUUAAUUAAAUAAGGAAUAACACAAUAGGAGAGGGACCACCAAGGUGCACUUACAUUAUUAAUGUCUAAGUGCUCAAAAUCGUCGUAUGAGAAUGUUGAAUGAAUACUAAAGACACUUAAAUUCUUUCAUUUCAAUUUCAUAUUUGAUCCGAUCAAAUUAAACGCCCAUAACAAGAGUACAUCUUCUUCGACCUAGUCUUCUCACCUCCUUAGUUUGAAACAAUUAAGACUAUUUAUUUGGGUUUCAAUUUUGUUAAUGGUAUUAGUAUAUAUGCAUGUAAUACGACAUAGAUGAACGGAUCAAAAUACUAUAUAUUAAUUGCUCGGUUCACUUGCACCUUGGUGCAUAGAAGAAUUUUUGAUAAUACAAACGUUGUUACACCAAUAGUGCACAGUGUGAGGAAGCCAAUGAUCGAAGUUGACAUUAUAUUCCGGAGGAAGAGAAAUAACAUGAAGGCCUUUAUGGUAGACUUUUUUUAUUAUUAUUUUUAUAUAUUUUUUAUGAUUUACUGACAAUAUUUAGGCCCUUAUGGUACCUAACAAUUAAUAGUAGACUAUUUUUUUAACCAAUUUUCCUCAAAAAUCAAUUAUAGUCGUUUUCAAAAAAGAAAUCAUUUAUAAUACACUUCUCUUUUAAGAUUCGAACAGAUCAAUCCGGCAAUAUCGAUCCCCUCAACACAAGCUAGUGAGUUAUGUCAUUUUUCUCCGACGAGAUGAGAAAUUAUUCAUUGCUGGAAUUAUUGUCAAUCUUUCAUGUGCCUCUUCGAGACCUCCUUCAUGUAUCAAAAACAUGCUCCUCACGUUCUUAUAUAUCUUCAUUAUACUCUCUUUUGAUCUAUACAUGAAUAAAUUAAAGUGAAAAGCGUAGCAUAAGAUAAGAACCAAAACGUUGUGAUCGUCACAUUUCAUGCAUUCUGCUUCUAUCACUAAAUUGAAGUAUAAACUUUGGAUUGCUCUCUUAAUUUCUUGCUUCUAUAUGGCUACUUAUUCAAAUCUCAUCCAUUUCUUAAGCAUGGGUAUUAUAUAACACAAGAGAAUGUAUAUGAGAUAUUUUAUCUUUUCAAACAUACAUGAUCGACAUGGUGUUGGGGUGUUCCUCGAGAAACGUUAUAAAAUCGAUGCUUGAAUUAAUAUUUAUUGAUUCAUACGUAUAAAAUUACAUCCCACGUCCUUGACCUUGCAUGAAAUUUCCUCUUAAAACAUGGUAGGUGCUGCCUUCCUGAUCAAAUAGAAACGCCCCCCGCCUGAUCAGAUGGAAUCUUCAAAUGGGGUUUGGCUGAAGAUGUGCUCUGAUCGGCUACACAAGCAGUUCUUUGAUAGAGUCGGCAAAACAUGUUUUGCCAAAAAUUAUUCAAAACAAACACAUACACACAUAUAUAUAGGUUACCAUGUCCUUUGAGUUAAUUCUAGGUGUCCCAAAGCUAUUGGGUCUUGGCGGUUUUCGAAUGAGUCGCAGGCAAGAUUGAACGCCAUACGCUUUGCAUGGCCUCGAGACUCUUUUUGAAGGCCACCCACAACGGGAACUGCAACAGUGCAAACACGCUGACGGGAAGAAACGCAACACAGUAGACGAAAAUUUUGAUCACUCUAUUCUUCAUGGAAAUUGUCAGCAUCAGAGUGGAGGCAAAGGCCACCAUGGUCACCACCACCGAUAAGAAGAGGAAGGUGAAGCCGAGGAUGAGCUUCCGAGGGAGAGAGUGUCGGAAGUCCUCGAGCUCGAACGGUGACGUCAGGAUGGAGAGGAACAUGACGAGUGAAGUCAGCGAGCUGGCUAGGGAUAGAGCGUCGGUGAUUACGAAGACCAAGAAGAAAGGGCUGUGAAGAAGGCGUGGAGUGCCACUUUGCUCGUCGUUGCCUCCAGGGACGGUGAAGGCGGCUGUGAAGGCGACGGUGGCCAUUAGUCCGGCCACCGUCGAGCACGACUCGGAGGUCCGCUUCAGCCAUUCUCGUGCGCUGUUGAGAAGCGGAUCAUGUGUGCGACGAAAGUACUCUUUAGGGAUCUCAGACGGGAUCUCAUAUUUCUUUCCUUCAGGAUCAUCGGGUGUUGUUAUCUUAUCCACGGCAAUGUUCUGCAAAUUAAUUACUUGAUUCAUUAGCAUAAGAUGUUAGGAAAAUCCAAGGUGCAUGACUAAUCAGGGAUGAAAUUAAUCAGUACAUACCUCAGAUUUCGAUAAGUCUUUGAGAAUCUCUACAUAUCUUUCAUGAAAGCUCUGUAGGGGGGUGGUGUCUUUGUCUUCCCGAGCACGGAAUUUUUGAUAAUGUUGUGGCAUUAACGCCUUCACCUUCUGCGAGUUAAGUAAUAUGUCUAAUCACUUAUUAAUUAUUAAUAAAAAAAAUAGUUAGCUGAUCGACGUAGCAUUUUUCUAUGAAAUAGAGGAUUGAUAAUUGGUCCCUUCCCAAGUACGUACGUACCUCGAACCACUUUAGCUCUUCUUGCAAUUGGAGUGCAGGACCAGGCUGGGUGCCCCCAUUGUAAUAGUCUACGUUGCCAACAUGGUGCAAUACCGUGAAGUUAUUCGUAUCGAGUUGUCGUAUCAACCUCUUCCUAGUUCCGUCCAUAUCUAUUACAAGCUCAAAGAUUUUCCACUGACGGUGCAUAAUGGCCAGGUGCAGUAUGUUUUGAUCCUUUGUAUUUCUAUACUCGUAUGCCGCUUUGUGGACUGUAAGAAUCUCCUUCAGAAUUUCAAAUAUUCCAUGUUCUGUUGCAAUGUACAAUGGAAUAGGAGGAGUAUUCUUUUUCAGUGAUCGGUUUGUUGUUUCUCCAUCUGAAUUAUUGGAAUCUGGGCGUGGGACAUUUUCACGAGCAGUCUCAUCCAUGCCUUCAAUUGCUGAUACUCGUGUGACGUCCCAUGAAUGGUCUGCUACAAUCAGAAUCUUGGCGAGUUCAAAAGCCAAUCCAUGCCUCUUCUUUUCGUCGUAGAUGUUCUUCAUGGUACUCCAUGCUGCAGUUACGAGUGAUCGAAUUUAUACAUAUAUAUAUAUAUAUAUAUAUAUAUACACAGUAUUUUCUCAGGUGCAGAUGUNNNNNNNNNNNNNNNNNNNNGAUGAACAUAAUUCUGUCGAACUUGAACCGUUCAUGUUUAUAACAGAAAAACACAGUUUUGAGUGCCUUAAUGAUAACCAAAUUGGCUGAAAUUUUACAGAGAUGAUCUAUAUAUUAGUAUCUAAAUACUAAACGGUGGAGAUGUGAAAAUUCGAUUAAAAAGUGAGCGUAAAGUGGAAAUCCGCACCGUAAGAAUAAUAGCGACGUCAACAGCUAGAAGGACUAUAUAUAUAAGAGUAAUUAAUAUUCCUGAUAAAGACUCAGGGAACUAAACGGUGUUGUACGUACGUACCUCGAAGAACAUUCCAAACCGAUCUAUUAACUGCCAAAACAAAAUAUGUAUACAUUAGUAUCUGCUCCACGAUCGUAACGAUUGUGAUCAAAUAAUUUGGUAAAAUUGAUGAUACACAUGCAUGCUUACCUGAAGAGAUGACUCGUCUUAGAAUUCGAAACAGAGUAGCUGAUCGUUUGGAAUUUUGUUUAUGAGCAUCUUCUCCAUUAGUAUCAUCACUGGAAUUUUGUUCAUGAGCAUAUUCUCCAUUAGCAUCUUCAUAUGGAGCACCUACAUCAUGCAUAAAUUAUACUUAAAUAACGGGGCGCGCACACACACACAUAUAGCUAGAUACAAUCUUUACCACAAUGACAACAAUUAAUACAUGUAGGUAUCUAAGGAAAAUAGGAAAUUCCAAGAAAGAUUAGAGAUGAUGAUACAUACAGUUGUAAAUGAACCUCUUGAUUUGUCCAUAUUUCAUUCCACUCUUGAAUGCUGAAGAAUUGGAUGAGAGGAGGUGAAGAGGAGUCUUCGAAUUUUUGUCCAUUUGUUGAACAGUUUUUGCAUACUUCGGCGUUUUAGCUAUGCUAAGUGCAAGCUCUGUAUAUUCAAGUUAUGGAGAAGAUCAAAAUUAAACAAAAAACUUUGUCGAUUAGUGCUUGAAAUGUAAUCAAGUAGCUAGCAAUUUACCAAAGAAUUCGGCAUGUAUUGCAGCAUGAAGAAUGGUACUGCGUAUGCGUUGAGGGUGGUAGGAGAACUCAUGUUUUUCAGCAGGAUACAUGGAGCAGAAAUGGACUCUAAGAUCAGGAACAUUUUUCAGUUGUUCAGCUAGCAAGUUGAAAAUUUCGGUCUGACCAAAGUGAGCUGCUGUGUAGAGAGGCCUUUCUCCUUUCUUGUUUGGAGUGUCCAGCAACUUCGGUGCCUUUUGCAACAACUUCUUCACAACUGGUACACAACCAGUUGCUACAGCUUCAUGAAGAGCUGUGUUUCCAAACUUAUUGGCUUUUGUAAUUUGCUCCUGACUGCUUGCUUCGAUGAUUCCUAUCGCGAUACUUUCUUCCCCCAUGUAAAUCUUCAUAUGGAGGGCUGUGUCGUCGUUCAGGGAUAUGAUUUGGCUGGAAGUAUGCAUUUCUGCCAUUGUUUAGAUCGUUAGGGAUCUCCAAAUAGAGACAGCUAGCCAGUGUGCUUGUGUGCAAUAUAUGAUGCUGGGGAUGCAUGAGGUGUAUUUAUAUGCAACCUGUAGAGUGUGGAGCAUGAAUGCAUGAUUCACAAACCAUAUAUUUCCUCUCCUCUCACCCCCUCUUUUUCCACUUCAUUUGCAUGUUGAAAUUAAGCAAGGAAUAAAAGAAAGUAGAGCCUUGAGGAAUAAGCAUGCAUGCAUGAUUCACGAACCAUUUACUUCCUCUCUUUUUCCAAUUAACUUUCUUUUCAAAACUAAGCAAGGAAUAAUAAAAUUCAAAGUCUCGAAAAAUAAGCAUGUAUGCCAUGAUUGACGAACCAUGUUCUUCGAUUUCGAUUGCUUUCUUCUUCUUUUAUUUGCUAAAGAGCAAGGGAUCCAUACACCAGUCAAUAUUUAAGUAAGGAAUACCAUACCAUACCCAAAUAAGCUUCAAAAACAAUGAAGAAGAAUACAAAUUGUUGAAAAUGACACUAAACAUUGUUACACGGUGUGAGGAAGCGCAUGAUCGAAGUUGACAGUAUUCCACUAAACAUCUUUGUUCGCUUUGUUGUACGGAUAUCACUUAUGUCACUUCAUGUUUGUUUGGUUGAUCACGAAUAUCUUCCUUUUUUUUUUUUGGUAUUCGAACAUAUAAAUCCCAAUUUGGAUCCCCUCAACACAAACUAGUAGGUUAUGUCCUCUCUAUGAUAAUGUCAAUCACAUGAUUAGAAUGAUCAACAAGUAAUAGUAUAACUUAUAAAUAAAUGAAUCACACCAGAUUGUAUCUACAAAGAAUGUUUUAUUCUUUCGUUUUCAUGUGUCUUGGAGUUACCAUCAUGUAUCAAACUAUCAAUAAUGUGCUCAUCACGUUCUUAUCUUUUCUUUUCUCUUUUGAUCUAUGUCUAUAUUACUGUACAUACAUAAAUCAAUCCAUAACCGCACAGCUUAAUUAAAAAAAAAAAAAAAAACCCAAACAUCUAAUAAUAUCCUUGAUAGUAAAAACAAUAAAAUAUAAGGAACGUAGUUGCAUUUGGUACAUGCAUUAUUGAUGGACUCACGGCCAUUGUUAACAGAACACGUACAACAACACAGAUGAGGGAUACCAUUCCUCACCUAGCAAUCUAGCUUAAAUGAAAAUCACACUUCCAACCAUAAAAAAAAUGAAGUAAACGAAAAGCUUUGCCAAGUGGAAUCAUUCGUCUUCAUCCGAGAAGACUUCAUAUUCCACACACAGAAACGAUAAUGUGGCAAGACUUAGGUCAUGGUCGAGGCUGACAUUUUUUCAGAGGAAGAAGAUGAAUGAGGCUGCGCACCAAGUCCUUUAAGGUAAACCAAGUAAUAUUGGUAUAGAGAGGAAGCUGGAGAAGGAGGAAAAAGGCGACAGGAAAACAAGCAAUGGCAAUGAUGGGAGCAGCAGCCUGAUGUACCCUGUGCCUUAUUGUAAUGACAAGAGUAGCGGCAAAACCAAUCAUCAAUGCUGUCACAGAAAAAAACAGCAUGCUUAGCCCCAAAACAAGCUUCAGAGGCAGAGAUAUCCUGAAAUCUUGCUCAUUCAUUUUGGACGUAGUAAUGGAUAGAAACACCACGACUGAGGUGAAAGCAAAACAAAGAGCUGCCACAUCUGAUGCUGUGAAGAUCGUGAAUGCAGUUGUGUUGAGGAGCAACGGCUUGCCAUUCUUAUCAGAACCGCCAGGCACGGUGUAGAUACUUGUAAAAGCAACAGUUGCAAUAAGAACUGCAACUACAAUGCAUGAGUUUGUUGUUCUGAUCAACCACUCUCGGCCUUCCUUCACCAGUUCUUCAUGCUGUUUUGUGAACAAAGCUUGAGGCGUAUCUCCUUUUUUAUUUUUCUGGUUGAUAUGAUGUGCAGGCACCAUUUUCCUCACUCUCUGCAUUGUACAUAUCAAACUUGUUACAUUUUACUCGAUGAAAAAGUGAGCCAAGAAUAAGAUAUUAGAGUGAAAGAGUUAGCACCUCAAACCACUGAAUAUCUGACUGCAAGCAAAGGGCUUCCCCGGGCCUCUCCCUUGAGGAAAUAUCAGUCUUGUAUGCAGCUUUAUGUAUAAUACCAUUAUCAGCUUUAUCGAACUUCCGAACGUGCCUCGCGAUCGGAUAAUUAAAUUUCUUAUCUUCGAGAAGAACCAAAACAUUUUUCCUGCGAUUCUUCACAGCAACAUGAAACACAUUUUCUCCUUUGUGGUUUUCAUGCUCGAUGGCCUGUGGGAACACAUCUAAGAUGGCCUCAACAAUCUCUACGAUCCCAUUCUUUGCAGCUGCAAUAAGUGGAGUGUCAUUCUUUGCAGCUGCAGUAUCACUCUGACCAUCAGUAGUAUUAUGACCCUGCCAUGACUUGUCUUCUUCAGCCAGAGUUUUGGUAAGCUUCAUCACUCUGCCAUGAUUCUUCUUCAUGUUUCUUAGACAUUGGACUCUUAGGAAUCCUAUGCAUAUUACAAUAUUCAUCACAACAAAGAGAGAUCGGUGAAUUUUUAGCUUUAAUAACUGAAUGAUUAGUGCUUAAUUUGUUUGACAAUCUGUACGUGAUUGUAUUUGCACAUACAAUUGUUAGUACUGAGUAGUUUAACACUUUAAGUACAAGCCUAAGUAAAGCAAUGAGUCUCCAUAUCCACCUGAAGUAUGUGCUUGAACUUCCUGGAUAUAUAUAUAUAUAUAUAUAUAUAUAUAUAUAUAUAUAUAUAUAUAUAUAUAUAUAUAUAUAUACUACUAGNNNNNNNNNNNNNNNNNNNNNNNNNNNNNNNNNNNNNNNNNNNNNNNNNNNNNNNNNNNNNNNNNNNNNNNNNNNNNNNNNNNNNNNNNNNNNNNNNNNNNNNNNNNNNNNNNNNNNNNNNNNNNNNNNNNNNNNNNNNNNNNNNNNNNNNNNNNNNNNNNNNNNNNNNNNNNNNNNNNNNNNNNNNNNNNNNNNNNNNNNNNNNNNNNNNNNNNNNNNNNNNNNNNNNNNNNNNNNNNNNNNNNNNNNNNNNNNNNNNNNNNNNNNNNNNNNNNNNNNNNNNNNNNNNNNNNNNNNNNNNNNNNNNNNNNNNNNNNNNNNNNNNNNNNNNNNNNNNNNNNNNNNNNNNNNNNNNNNNNNNNNNNNNNNNNNNNNNNNNNNNNNNNNNNNNNNNNNNNNNNNNNNNNNNNNNGGAAAUUCAAGCACAUAUACUUUAGGUAGAUUUGGAGAAGGAACUAUAUAAUAAGGGAAAUGGAAGUUUAUAUACUUGUUCAGUAAUUAUUAUUUGUGAAUAUUUGUAUUUUUCAAGCAAGAAUUAGUAUUUAGUACUAUCUGUUUGAUCAGCAAGACACAAAUUAACAAACUGAAACAACUGAUUGCAUAGAUGAGUCGAGAUCUUUCCAUUCAUUACCAUGAUGUGUGUCUGGAUUGCCCCGAGAUACAUCGUUGUUUACACUUGCAUCCAUAUCUUUUGGAACUGGAAGGCCUGUUAUAUAUAAUAACACAUGCAGUUUGAACAUGUUAGAUGUUAUCAGAUAUAUCUAUAUAUGAAUGCACCGCAGAUCCUGAAAAGUAAAACCGUAAUCAAAUUGGAUUGCGGUAUCUGACAGACCGUCAUAAAUCAGUUUCUCCAAGAAGCCAAAGGAGUAUCCACUCUUGAAAGCGUUGGGAAUGUCAGCUAGCAGCUGAAAGCAGGUCAUGCCAUAUAAAUCUUUCUGAUCCUUCGGUAUGCAGUAUUUUUUGUCUAAUAAUUCCAGAGCUGUGUCUGCAUUGUCAAGAUCCACAUAAUUCAACUUAUUAGAAUAGAGUAUUACACAUAUACUGGCGGAUACAUGUAGUGGGCUAUCUAGGCUGCAGCCCAGACAGAAUUUUUGAUAUAUACCAUGUGAAUACCAACUGGUAAACAAAGUUUCUUUGGUUCAGUUGGCAGUCUGUCCAACCUGACUUUUACCUUGUCUAAGGUUCGACUCCUCUUGGAGUCAAAUCCCAUGUUUUUAUCUAGUUUUCCAAGAUUUUAUUCUUCUUCCUCUACUCUUUGUGACUACAAACCAGACUUGACUGGAAAUCCUUCAUUUUUGUUUUUUUUUUUUACUUAAUUUACAUCACUUUGCAUUUUCCCUUCUCGUUUUCUUCACUUUCCUUUUUGGGUUUAAUCUAUUUUUUAUUAGUAUUUUGUUAAAAAAAAACUAAAUUAAAAUGUUUUCUCAUAUACUCCUACAUUUCCGUUAGUGUUUCUUUACAAGAAAUUUCCUUUGAUGAGUCUACCAUUUGGUUCAAGAAAUUCUAGAAAAAUUUUGCACAUCUAAUUAAUAGCCUAGACACUCACCGGAUCCUGGAUCGGCCAUACAUGUUAAUCAUAACAGCAAAAUGAUAUUUCAUGCACCUCUAUUCGGAGCACAUCUCCUAUAUAUGUAUCAAAAGAGGGAUGAGAGAUUAUGAAAGCAAGAGUGAUCAGAGAUUACCAAAGUAAUACCCGCGAAUAGCCUCAUGAAGCAUGGUGGAGUGUUCAGUCUUGACAUGUCUUUCUAUGUUGUUAAGCUUUUCCACCCAAGUUUUGAUCAACUCGGUCUUGCCAUAAAUUGCAGCCAUAAAGAAAGGUGUCUGAUCGUCCUUGUUUCUAGUAUUCGUCAUCAGUCGCCUCUUCUCUUCAAAACCCAACAUCAGCUCUACCAAUUUUACAUUUCCUGUCGAAGCUGCCUCAUGGAGUGGUGUGUUUCCAAAUUUAUUCUUUAAGGAGAGUUUCAAGCCAUCUUGUUCAUCUACUGGAGUCGAUGAAAAUUGUUUGUCUUCAACAUACACUAUGUUCAGCAGGGAUUCCACCAAUUUCAUGUCUUGACUGUAUGCUGCAAGAUGAAGAGCCGUAUCUCCCAAAUGAUUAAGAGGUAUGCAAACCUGAAAACUCUGUUCCUCGUAAAAGCUCUGUAUUUCACUCCAGUUCCCUUCUGAGAAAAGCUCGUAAAUACGCUCACCAAACUCAACACUGCUAUUCAUAAGCAUAUCUCUGUCUUUCAUCAUACGGAAAUUUAGUCUCGCUUGUUUCACAAACAGCAAGAAACUAAAAGAGAGUGAUAUAUAGAUCAAUAUAUAUAGAGCAUCAACUUUGCCUACUUAAGAACCAAAGUAUUCCUUUCUUUUCUGAAAAAAAAUAAAAAAAGAAGAAGAAUAAAGCAUUUCUUACUGCAGUCAUAAAUAAGGAUUUUGUUCUGCAACUGUCUUGCUUAACCGUGAACACAAUUUUGUGGCUGGAACACUUGCAGCACAAGUGUUCUUAUAAAAGAAAGUAGCAUGUAGAUGGAUCCAGGCAUCCAGCAUCUUCCUUCCAUUCCUUAAGUAACGAAUUUACAAAGCAAACGUCGCUUUUGUGUGAUCGUAAAUUCGUAACGAUGAAGAUAAUAGGGCACCACCAUUCAGUUUACAGAUCAAUCAAAAUGAUAAUAACAGGGUUGCUUAAUCAGCCACAACCUAACACAGCUUCAAGACACAUCACCCAUGUAUAUAUAGCGUAAAGGGAAUACAGGUUUUUAUCUCAACAAGCGUAAAGACACAGAUUCUAUCUUAACUUCAUUAAUGUUAACUUCAGAUCAUAUAUGCUUUUCAAGUUUCAUCCAAAACCUUAAUCUUGGACAGUGUAUAAAACCAUACAAUUUCAAUUUAUUGAUCUAUAGAAGAUUACAUCUCAUAUUCCUGAACAUAUACAUAAUCGAUUAAUAAUACACACAAUUCCUAGACCUAAAUCAAGGAGUCAAAAGGGAGCUGCCUUCCUUGAUGAGCACAAACACACUGCCAUUGUCUCCCCUCGAAAUCCGAAGCUCUUGAUCAAGGUAUGUGGUUAGCAACCACGAUUCGGCAUUGCUGCUUGAAAUCGAGAACUUAAUUGGGGGUUGGCUAGAGAUGGACUUUGCAACUGAUGAAGCAGUGUCUUGGACAGAAGUGAGCAAACCUUUGAAGGGUGCAAGGUCUAUCUUCUGUCCCAAAAACUCAACAUCUUCCGGUAUCACUAGCGAGUCUGUUAGCUGGGGAGUCCCAAUCACCCCUUCCUCAAAUUUGAGCUGAAACCAAAACAACCACUCAUCUAAAUUUUUAACAAGACACAUCAAAACCCAUGGACAAUCAACAUUAUACAUACACUUCAAAUCAUUCAUUUCAUCAAUGGACAAAGAAUAAGAACUAAACCUGAACACGCUUGGGACUUCGGACAUCAAAUGUGGCAUUGGUGCUGAAAGAAGUUGUAGCCAAAGGCCCGGAAAACCGAACAGAGUUUUCAACUGUGAAAUUAUCAGAGUCUAUAGUCUGCGAAAUCUCAGCAACCUUCACCAAAGGAAGAGUUCCUCUGGACAAUAUUGGAAACAAACCAGCAAAAGAUGUGUACCUACAAAUUUCGACCAUGUAAUCAUUACAACACUGUGAUGCUAAACUUGGGUUUAUAGAAUGAUGAUGAUUAACCAAACUUACGCCAGAAUCCAUUUCCCGUUGAGUAGAGGCAACGCGUCGGUCGGAGCCGGAGUCGGGUUUUGGGCCUCUAAUUGGGUAAUAAGCUCGACAAUCUCGGCCCGGGUCUCGCUGGUGGCGCUGAGCCCACGAUCAGUCCCGUAGAACGAGUCCACCAAAGCCUUCUUUAGUUUCGAGAUCUCCUCCGGCUCAUCCGGCUUCUCUGCCACAGCCACAGCUCCAGCUGCCACGUCGGACGACUCCUCCGAGUUCUCCGGGGCCGAGUCGUCAUCCAGGGCGCGGACACGGGUGGCGGGUCGGGCGGCCGGUGGGGAUUCCGGGUUGGAGAGUUUCAAUUUGUGGGUGGCGAGGGAGAUGGAGUUUGGCGCCAAAAUGGAAGGCUUGGAGGUGAGGCGGGGUUGGGGCGGAGUUAGUGAGAGAGUCUUGCAUGGGAAGUGGUUUAGCUGAGAGACAAAAGCCAUGUUUGGCUGAACUGAAAACACUGAAAGUCUUGGACUGUGAAGAAGAAUCAAGAAGAAGGUGACUGUUUUUCUGAGUUGUGGUCUCUGCAAAUCCGCGAGUUUAAGGAGGACAAAAUAGUUGGGCAAACGGAGAAUUAGUGUUAGAAAAGACGUUGGUGUCCGGAAGGUUGGUGACUUGUUUGGAGUUUUGUGGUGUGGGUUGUGAGGACAGAAAUGGAACUGGAAGUCCCCAAAUCAUGUGGGAAGCAGCAAGUACAGUCGCCGACGGCUAUGGAAUUAUUGGAUGGAGGACACAUGGCCAGAAGGAUGGGAGUUUUUGGAAAGUGAUGCCCAAGUUUGCCUUCUUACAUGAAUCGUGUUUGGUUUGUUUUGCACUUUAGAGAUAGCCGAAUUCUUAUUAUAGUGGAAAAAUGAAUGAGGAGGAGUCCUAUAUAGAUGGAGUUACCCACAAAAUACCUACUUAGAUUUCAACCAUAAUAUGGCAUUGGAUACAUGUUGAUCCCCCAAGUCCCCAACUCAACAUCUCUCUGGAGUUGGAUAUUUUUUAGAAUGUCUGAAAUUAUUUGUCCAAAUGGAAGUUUCAUGUGUAUCAAAUUAUAAUAGCAUUGCACAAAGGGUGUGAGUGAUAUUUAGGUUUAAGUCAUGCAAUUUGCAAUUUUCGUGUGUAUCAACUAAUUAAGUUUCUAAUCUCGUUUCCGUGUACCAACAAAGUUAGUAAUUAAAGUUACUGAUCUCUUUAUAUAGUUAAUCAAGUUUUAGUAACAACUCUUCAUCUACUCAAAAUUUUUCUACAUGUAAAUUGGAUGAUCGUUGUUUAGCUCAUAAUCACGGCAUUAUUCAAAGCUAUACAUUGGUAGAUGCAUCCGAGAAGACCUUUAGUGAACAUUCAACUAGUAAAUUGGUAGUUUGGUACAACCUGCAACUUGUAAAUGGCAUUGGAGCACAAGCCGGAUUAUUCUUUAUGGGACGGUUAUUCACUUAUUUGAUGACAAUUCUCUACCGGCGAGUAAAACCACGCUGCGUUAUGCCGGAAAAAGUAUUAUGGACCUGGACUGGUAUGCAGGGAAAUGAAACACUACUAAACUUUGGUAUUCAAAUAAAGGCUCGUUAAUAGGGAAGUGAGCCUUAUGGGGCAUCUGGGUCUCUAUGGAUUAGCAAAUAGCAAUACAGUUCAUGAGACCUUUCAGUUGGGCCUGUGCCAUAUUCUCAGGCUUUCCAAUUGUCGAAUUUAAUUUUGAUCCAAAUACACGGUCACCUCCUUCUACAAUAAAAACACAUGAUUAGUCUAAUCGGAAAAUUGUAAAAUCUUGAUCCAUCUAUCUUCUUUCCUUCUCUGUAUCUUGUGCUUUGACUUGUUCGGUUGUUCUCGACAUGUAAGAACAACGAUGCAUAAACUACUAUGUAAUGCUAAUCAUAAAGAUAUGUUCUAUACAUGAUUUGAUUUUUAGCUAACUUGUUUAUAAACCUUGCCACUAUUUUAAUAUCACGUAAAAAGUAGUACGUAUAGUCUAUGAUACUCUUUGCCAAAUGCCAAUCAUUGAUGACUUCAUGUUCAUGCCUAACAAGAUUAGUUUGAGUAUUAGUUAAUUAUCUGUUAUACAGUUCAUGCUAGCAUGAGCUUCUCCAUUGAAACUAGUAAUCAAAAGAAUAUAAGAGCAUAACCAACCAAAACCAACGGAGUGUGAACAUUACAAAGAUACAUGAUCCCCAGUUCUUCACUUAAAUCAUGUUUUUAUUAUUGUUAAUCACCAUUAAUUAUACACUUUAGUUUAGGCUUUUCGAUGAUUUUCUUUUAGAGCAAAUAUUGGUGGGCUUUGAAUGAUCAAUAUCUAUGUAAUAUUCCAUGUAAUCACUCAUCACCUAUGCUUGCUCAUGCACUUCGUAGCAAAUUUUCAUCUUUUCAACGCAAUUCAUGCCAUGAUUUUCUUUUCUUGAGGGACAAACUUUUGUUAAUCAUAUCAUGACCCUUAUAAGGUAAUAAUUGAACAUCAUUGCGCAAACCUCACCCUCAAACUUCUAUCAAACAGUAUUUUCAUGAUAUUUGAUCAUGAGUCUUAGACGGUCAAAUCUGAUUACUUAAUUGUGCUCAAAUACAUUACUACGUUGUCUAAAUAAUGAAUGUCACCUAACUUACGAAAACAUAUAACUUCAACAAUUGAGUAUAACACAAAUAUGUAAGAUAUAAUAUACAAAUAAUGACCCAAAAUUUAACUUUUAUUUGCUUGCAUAAGCCAGAGAAGAAACCCAUUUGCAGUUGUUUAUCCACUUAAUUGUGGUUGUUGACUGCAUUAUUCUUUCGUCGAUAACCUAAUACUUUAGGAUGAACACUAAUAUUCCAUAAACCGAAUGUAUGUGGUUGGUUAUCCACCAAAUACAGGAUAGGUUAUACAAUCAUCCCUCAAAGUCACAAAAUUGCAGCUAGGGACAAUAAAAUCAGCCACCCAAGUAUGAACAAAACAAGUGGACUACAUUAUAAUCAGUUUCGUCUUAAUCAUACCAUCCUACAAGUAAGUAGAUGACCACCCAAAACAAAUUUGAUGCUAUUGGAAACUAGUACCACCUGGCAUUACGCCUGCUUCCAUGGCUUUUGUCUUUUUUCCUCAGGCCGGCGACCACCAAGUAAUAGUGUACAACUAAAAAACGCCACCCCCUGAAAAACCAAAUACUAAUCAACAUUUUUCAUUUUUCUACCCAAAAACAAAAAACCGUAGCUUCUGUUUUCCCAAACCCAAUGAGUUAGCAACUGGUCCAAUUCUUUUUCACUUUCCUUCUUCCAUUUUGUCUCUUUUCCUUUUUCUUCCCUCUUUCUCAAACUCCCAAAAUCCCCUAUUUGCUGGCCUUGAAUCAGCAUCUUUGCAAAUCCAACUUACCGUUAUCAUUGCCCAUAAUUAAUUGUUGCUCGUUUCGUCUGUGGUCGCUGUCGAUUGAGGUGGUGGUGUUAGCUAUGCCUAGCUAGCUACAGUUUAAUUUCUCUCUGAUCUUCUUCAACAUACUCACGGGUGUUCCAUGGCCGCGCUUUAAUCCAAACUCGCAGGUCAUUUUCCAUACAAUUCUUGCUUGUGUUUUGCUUGUAUCAGUUGUAUGUAUAUUUUGGGGGUUUGGUUUGGUGGUUUGAGUUUGUUCUGUUCUGUUAUUCCGGUGGUGGGUUUUGUUGGGUCUCUUCUGUUCAGUUCGAGAAUGAGUCAACUGAGUCUGGUGUUGCAGGAAACUGUCCGGAGGGGAAGGGAGGCCAGGACGAUUCUGGAGGUUUUAAGAGAGCAAAUGGACGACGGCGAUGCGGUCACGGCAGGGAGGAGGAGUUUCAAGCAGCGGCUGAGAUUGACCGGAAUAGGAUGCUGCGGCGCCGCGUGGGGAUUCGGACGGACGGCCACGAUUAACGUAGAGGAAGAUGAGGUAGGACAACAGCAACCGCGGCAACAAGAGGAGCAGCAGCUGCAGAUGCCGAACCUCUCGCAGUUGCUGAUACUGGGCCAGGCAGCCGGGUCGGAUUCGGAUCCGGGUUGCUUGGGUCCGGUCAACUCCGGGUCGGGUAUGAACCUCGCGGCGGCGCUGGCGGCGGAGAGGCAUUACCGGGAGGCGGACGAGGCCGCGGCGUUGCAGACGACGGCGCCAGGGACGCCGAUGAGGGUGUCGCUGAUGAGGUUACUGGAGGAGACGGAAAUGGACGGCUGCGAUGUGGUGGCGGGGGAGAAGAGUGAGAAAGCGACGGGUGCGGGAGUGGUGGGGUGUGAUUCGGUGUGCUGCGUGUGCAUGGGGAGGAAGAAAGGCGCGGCGUUCAUACCAUGUGGGCACACUUUUUGCAGGGUGUGUUCGAGGGAGGUGUGGCUUAAUCGAGGCUCCUGUCCCCUCUGCAACCGUACGAUCCUCGAGAUUCUCGAUAUCUUCUGACGUGCAUGGAGAUUUGCGCCGCCGUGGAAUUCAGGGAAGACGACGGUGACGGUGACUGUUGGUGAAUACUAUUGGAAGGUGUAGUAAUUCUUCUUCUUCUUCUUCUUCUUGGUCUUUGUUUUUAUAGAAAAUUCGAUUUGAUUGUUCUCAUUUGUACUCAAUAUGAUAUGUUUAUGGAUGUAGUGAUGUAAUUUUUACUCUGUUUUCUCUCCACUUGAGAAUCGAAAUGAAGCUGCAUUGAUGCAAUAGACUAUUCCCAAUGGUCUUUGUCAACUUGAUUAGUAAAUUUUCUCACUGAUGUUCUUACCAAGAACAUAGAAUAUGGGAUAUGCAUGUUAGUAUGUUACUAGUUUAGGGUUAGAAUUAUAAAGAGCUGGAUCCUCUCUGUUUUUUUUUGGUUACAAGAGCUGGAUCCUCUUUAGUUGUAGCAUUUGAUCCCUUCCAAUGCAUUCUAUGAAUUCGAUGCUAUAGCUAGCCUCGUGCCUUGUAAUAAGAAAGUAAUGUCACGGAUUGUCUUGCAAUUUCUUAAAGUAAAUUAAAUACGAAUGAUCUUGCGCUCUCAAAAUCAUUUGAUUUGAAGUUUCGCCAAAUUCAUAUAACACACCUCCAUAUUUGGAUCAGACUAGUUGAUACAAAGUCACUCUAGUUGAUACAAGAGAUGUCUAGGGCCGCGUAGGGCCGCCUAGGCCUGUCUAGGGGCCGCCUAACUCGCGUAGGAACCGCCUAGACCCACCAAGGGCCACAAAGAUCUAAGCAAGCAUCCUUUGUUGAUGUUCACAAGACAAAGUCCUUAGAUCCGGUUUAAAACGAAACUCGUAUAAACUAAUCUGAUUGAGAUUUUCGAGUUCCGUCGGUUGAAGAAGUAUUUAUUUGUCAUGAUUUCAUAUUAGAAAAGAUUUGGUUAAAAAACAAGCAUUGAAUUUUGACGGAAAAUUUUAACUGAAAUCAAGCAAAACUCGUAUACACUAAUCCGAUUGAGGUUUUUGGCUUUCGUCAGUUCGAGAAGUACUUAUUUAUCAUUAUUUGAUAAAAGAAAAAGUUUGGUUGAAAGAUAAAAACAUUGUAUUUUAACGAUAAAAUCGUGUGUUAUAUCAAAGGGUUUUAACUGAAAUCAAACAAAACUCGUAUACACUAAUUCGAUUGAGGUUUUCGACUUUCGUCAGUUCAAGAAGUACUUAUUUAUUAUUAUUUGAUAAUAGAAAAAGUUUGGUUGAAAAAUAAGAAUAUUAUAUUGUAACGAAAAAAUCGAGUGCUAUAUCAAGAGAUUUUAACUGAAAUUAAGCGAAACUUGUAUAUACUAAUUCGAUGGAGAUUUUCGAGUUCCGUCAGUUUGAGAAGUACUAAUUUGUCAUAAUUUCAUACUAGAAAAUGUUUGGUUAAAAUAUAAGAACAUUCAAUUUUGACGGAAAAAUCAUGUGCUAUAGCAAGAGAUUUUAAAUGAAAUCAACCGAAACUCGUAUACGCUAAUUUGACAGAGGUUUUCGAGUUCUUUCAGUUCAAGAAGUACUUAUUUGUCAUGAUUUCGUAAUAGAAAAGGUUUGGUUAAAAAAUAAGUGCAUUGAAUUUUGACGGAAAAAUCGUGUGCUAUAAUAAGAGAUUUAAACCGAAAUCAAGCAAAACUCAUAUACACUAAUCCGAUUGAGAUUUUUUCGACUUUCGUCAGUCCGAGAAGUACGUAUCUAUCAUUAUUUGAUAACAGUAAAACUUUGGUUGAAAAAUAAGAAUAUUCUAUUUUAACAAAAAAAAUCGACCUGAACAACCACCAGUUCACCGCCUUCCCGUGCUCCGAUCGACCUGAUUUUUGGACAGCAGCUUCCUCAUCCAGUGAUGCUCCUCCUGUCAAAAUUUUAGCUCUAAACUCGAAGCAAAAGUAGGUGAAAAGUUGUUUCUCCUCUCGGCAGCCUCUAGAAACCAAAGAUUUCAAGAUUGCUCGUCUUCCAAGGAAAGCCAGAAAGGUUCCCAACCCUUGGGCCGCCUUGACCCGCCUUGGGCGGCCUUUAACCGCCUUGACCCGCCUUGACCCUUCUAAACCCACCAAGGGGCUGCCUAGGGCCGCCAUGGGGCCACUUUGACCUGCCUCAGCCCGUCUUGGGCCGCCUUGACUCGCCUUGACCCGCCUUAACCUCUCUUGGACCGCCUUGACUCGUCUUGGCCCGCCUUGACCCGCCUUUGCCCGCUUUGAACCAUUUUGUGCCGCCUUGAUCCACUUUGAACCGCCUUGACCCUCCUAAGUCCGCCUUGACCCUCCUAGACCCACCUAGGGCCGCCUUUACCCUCUUAGACCCGCCUAGGGCCGUCUUGACCCUUCUAAACCCGUCAAGGGGCUGGCUAGGGCCGCCAUGAGGCCACUUUGACCUGCCUCGGCCCGUCUUGGGCCGCCUUGACUCGCCUUAACCUGUCUUGGCCCACCUUGACUCGCUUUGGCCCGCCUUGAAGCAUCUUGGGCCGCGUUGACCCUCCUUGGCCCCCUUGGCCCGCCUUGACCCACCUUGGACCGUCGUAGGCCGCCAUGACUCACCUUGAACCGCCUUGACCCCCUAGACCCGCCUAAGUCCGCCUUGACCCUCCUAGACUCGCCUAAGGCCGCCUUAACCCUCAUAGACCCGCCAAGGGGCGGUCUAGCUAGGGCCGCCAUGGGGUUGCCUUGGACCGCCUUUGCCCGCCUUUACUCGCCUUGAACCAGCUUGGGCCACCUUGACUCGCCUUGGCCCACCUUAACUUGCCUUGGACCGCCAUGACCCGCAUUGGACCACCUUGACCCUCCUAGACCCCCCCUAGGGCUUCCAAGAAGCUGCCAUGAGUCGCCAAGGGGUCUCCAUGACCCUUCUAGGGCUGCCAAAGGGCCGCCUUAACCAGCCUUGACCCGUCUUGACCUGCCUUGAUCCUCCUAGACUCGCCUAGGGCGGCCUUGACCUUUCUAGACCUGCCAAGGGGCUGCCUAGGGCCGCCAUGGGGCUAGCUUGGCCCGUAUUGACCCGCCUUGGACCGCCUUUACACGCCUUGGCCCGUCUUGGAACGCCUUGACCCGUAUUGGACCGCUUUGAACCGCCUUGGGCCGCCUUGACCCUCCUUGGACCGCUUAGGCCCGCCUUGAACGACUUUGGGUUGCCUUGACCCUCUAGACCCGCCUUGACCAGCCAUGGGCCGCCUUGACCCUCCUUGACCCCCUAAAGGCUUCUAAGAAGUCGCCAUGACUCGUCAAGGGGUCUCCACGACCCUUCUAGGGAAGCCAAGGGGCCGCCUUAACCCGUCUUAACUUGCCUUGGCCCAUCUUAACUCGCGUUGGCCCACCUUGACCCUUCUAGACACUCUUAGGGCCGCCUUAACCCUCCUAGACCCGCUAGAGGGCUGCCUAGGGCCGCCAUGGGGCCACCGUGACCCGCCUUGACCCACCUUGGACCACCUUUGCCCGCUUUUACUCGCCUUAGCCCGUUUUGACCCGCCUUAGCCUGUCUUUGCCCGCCUUGGACCACUAUGGGCCGCCUUGACCCUUCUAGACCCGCCUAGGGCUACCUUGACCCUCCUACACCCGCCUAGGGUCACGAAGAUGCCGCCAUGACUCGUCAAGGGGUCGCGAUGACCCUCCUAGGCCGGUCAAGGGCCGCCAAGAGGCCGUAUUAACCCGCCUUGGCCGCCUUAGAUCGCCUUGAUCCGUCUUGGCCCGCUUGGCUCGCCUAGGCCCACCUAGGGCAGCCAAGGGGCCGCCAAAACCCACCUAGGGCGGCCAAGGGGCCGCCUUGACCCGUCUAGGGGUUGCCUUGACCCGCCUUAGGUCGCCUUGUUCCAUCUUGGGCCACCUUGACCCUUCUUGGCCUUGCCAGGCCCACCUAGGGUAGGCAAAGGGGCGCCAUGGCCCACCUAGAGCUGCCACGGGGAUGUCUUUACAUGCCUUGACCCUCCUAGGCCCGCCUAGGGCCACUUUGACCAGUCUAGGGACGCCAAGAGGCCGCCUUGACCUGCCUAGGGCCGCUAAGGGGACUUCAUGACCUACCGAGGAGCUUCCUUUACACGCCUAGGGUAGUUUUGUUCUCCUUAGGGCCCGCCAUGACCCGCAUAUGGCCGCCAAAGGGCUGCCUAGGGCCGCCAAGGGGAUGCUUAGGGCCGCCAUGGGGCCACCUUGACCCGUCUAGAGCCGCCUUGACUCUCCGUGGGGACACCUUGACCAGCCUUGGCCCCCUUGACCCGCCUUUAACCGCGUUGGGCUGCCUUGACCCAUCUUGGAACGCCUUGGGCCACCUUAACCCGCUUUGGGCAGCCUUGGCCCGCCUUGGCUCGUCUUAGGCCGCCACGGGGCUGCCUUUACAUUCCUUAACCCUCCUAGGCCCGCCUAGGGUCACCUUGACCAGUCUAGGAACGCCAAGAGGCCGCCUUGAUCUGCUUAGGGCCGCCAAGGGGACGUCAUGACCCGCCGAGGGGCUUCCUUUACACGCCUAGGGUUGUUUUGAUCUCCCGAGGGCUUGCCAUGACCCGCAUAAGGCCGCCAAGGGGCUGCCUGGGACGCCAUGGGGCCACCUUGACCCGCCUUUGCCCGCCUUGGAAUGCCUUGGGCCGCCUUAACCCGCAUUGGACCGCCUUGGGCCGCUAUGAACCGCCUUACCCGCCAUGGGCUGCCUUGACCCCGCUUGAACUGCGUUGGGCCACCUUGACCCUCCUAGACCAGCCUAGGGCUGCCUUGACCCCCCCUAGACCCGCCAAGAGGCUACCUAGGGCCACCAUGGGGCUGCCUUGGACCGCCUUGGCCUUCCUUUAGCCGCCUUGGCUAGCCUUGAACCGCCUUAGGCAAACUUGACCCUCCUUGGACCGCCUUGGCCCGUUUGGAACGCCAUGACCCGGCUUGAACCGCCUUGGGCUGCCUAGGGCCACCAAGAAGCUGCCAUGACUCGCCAAGGCGUCGCCAUGACCCUCCUAGGCCCAUCUAGGGUCAAGGGACCGCCUUAACCCGCCUUGACCAUCCUUGGCCCUUCUAGGCCUACCUAGGGCAAGGGGGCGCCAUGACCCACCUAGGGCCGCCAAGGGGUUGCCUUUACACGCAUUGACCCAGUUUGACCCGUCUAAGGCCGCCAGGAGGCCGCAUUGACAUGUCUUGGGCUGCCAACAAGCCACCUUGACACGCCUAGGGCCGCCAAGGGGACGUCUUGACCUGCUAAGGGGAUGCCUUUACACGCCUAGGGUUGUUUUGACCUCCCUAAGGCCCGCCAUGACCCACCCAGGGCUUCCUACGGUCACCAUGGGGCCACUUUGACCUGUCUCGGCCCGUCUUGGGCCGCCUUGACUAGCCUUGACCCGUCUUGACCUGCCAUGGCCCGCCUUGGGCCGUUUUGACCCGCCUUGGGCCACCAUGGGCCGCCUUGUCCCGCCUUUACCUGCCUUGAACCGCCUUGACCCUCCUAGACCCGCCUAGGGCCGCCUUGACCCCCCUAGAUCUGCAAGGGGCCACCAAGAAGCCUCAAUGACUCGCCAAGGGGUCUCCAUGACCCUUAUAGGGUCGCCAUGGGGCAGCCUUAACCUCCCUUAGGACACCUUGACCCGUCUUGGUCCGUCUUGGGCCGCCUUGACCCGCUAUGACCCGCCUUAGAACGCCUUGUGCUGCCUUUGCUCGCCUUGAACCGCCUUGACCUUCGUCGGCUCUUCUAGGCCCACCUAGGGCAGCCAAGGGGGCGCCAUNNNNNNNNNNNNNNNNNNNNGCCAUGACCCACCUAGGGCCGCCAAGGGUAGCCUUUACAGGCCUUGACCCUCCUAGGCCUGCCUAAGGCCACCUUGACCCUUCUACAGCCGCCAAGAGGCCGCCUUGACCUGCCUAGGGCCGCCAAGGGGGUACCUUGACACGCCUUGACCCACCAAGGGGCUGCCUAGGGCCGCCUAGACCCGCCUUGGGUCGCAUUGAACCGCCUUGGGCUGCCUUGACCCGCGUUGGGCCGCCUUGACCCUCCAAAGACUCGCCAAGGGGCUGCUUAGGGUAGCUAUGGGGAUUUCUAGACCCGCCUUGGGCCGCAUUGAACCGCCUUGGGCGGCCUUGACCCAUCUUGGGCCGCCUUGCCCCGCCUUGAACUGCAUGGGCCGCCUUGACCCUCCAAAGACCCACCAAGGGGCUGCCUAGGGCCGUCAUGGGGCCACCUUGACUCGUCUUGGACCUGCCUUUACACGGCUUGACCCAUCUAGGGCCUCCAAGAUGCCGCCUUGACAUUCCUAGGCCCUCCAAUAAGCUGUCAUGACUCGCCAUGAACUGUCAAGCGGCUGCCUUUACACGCCUUGACCCUCCUAUCCCAGCCUAGGGCAACCAUGACCCCUGUAGGGCUAUCUUAACCCCCCUUGGCCCGCCUUAGGCUGCCUUGAUCCUCCUCAGCCCUUCUAGGCCCACCUAAGGCAGCCAAGGGGGAGCCAUGACACGCCUUGGCCUGUCAAGGGGCUACCUUUACACGCCUUGACCCGCAACCGUCUUGGGAAGCCUUGACCCGCUUUGGACCGUCUUGACCCGCCUUGACUUGCCUUGGACUGCCUUGACCCGCCUUGAAUCGCCUUGGGCCGUCUAGUGCCACCAAGAAGCCGCCAAGACUCGACAAGGCGUUGAUAUGACCCUCGUAGGCCUGUCUAGGGCCUCCAAGGGACCGCCUUAACCCGUGUUGGCCCACCUUAGGCCGCCUUGACCCUCCUCGACCCAUCUAGUCCCACCUAGGGCAGCCAAGGAGGCGCCAUGACCCACCUAGGGCCGCUAAAGGGCUGCCUUUACACGUCUUGACCCGUCUAGAGCAACCAAGGGGCCGCCUUAACCCGCCUUGGCCCGCCUUAGGCCACCUAGACCCGUCUUGGGCCGCCUUAACCCUCGUCGGCUCUACUAGGCCAACGUAGGGCAGCCAAGGGGGCGCCAUGACCCACCUAAGGCCCGCCAAGGGGCUGCCUUUACACGAUUUGACAUUCCUAGGGUCGCCAAAGGGGCCGCCUUGACACGCCUAGGGCCGCAAAGGGUACAUCUUGACCAGCUAAAUGGCUGCCUUUACAUGCCUAGGGCUGUUUUGACCUCCCUAGGGCUGCCAUGACUCGCCUAGGACCGCCAAGGGGCUGCCUAUGUCCGCCAUGGGGCCACCUUGACCCGCCUGAGCCGCCAUGGGCCGCCUUGACUUGCCUUGUGCCGCCUUUACCCGCCUUGAACCGCCUUGACCCUCCUCGGCUCUUCUAGGCCCACCUAGGCCAGCCAAGGGGGCGCCUUGGACAGCCUUGCCCGCUUUGGGCCGCCUUGACCCUACUAGACCCGCCUAGGGCCACCAAGAAGCCGCCAUGACUCGCCAAUGGGACGCCAUGACCUGCCUAAGGCCGCCUUGACCCUCUUAGACCCGCCUUGGGCCACCAAGAAGCCGCCAUGACUAGCCAAUGGGUCUCCAUGACCCUUCCAAGGCCGCCAAGGGGGGCCGCCUUAACCCGCCUUGGCCCGUAUUGACCCGCCUUGGAACGCCUUGGCCCGUCUUGACCCGUCUUGGCUCGCUUGGGCCGCCUUGGCCCCCUUGACUCGCCUUUAACUGCCAUGGGCCGCCUUAACCCUCCUAGACCUGCCAAGUGGCUACCUUGGACCGCCUUUGCCCAGCCUUUACUCGCCUUGGUCCGCCUUAACCCACCUUGGCCCACCUUUGCCCGUCCUUACUCUCCUUGAACCAGCUUGGGCCGCCUUGGACCGCCUUUGCCCACCUUAACCGCCUUGGGUCGCCUUGACCUUCCUAGACCAGCCUAGGGCCGCUGUGACCCUCCUAGACCCUCCUAGGGCCGCUGUGACCCUCCUAGACCCGCCAAGGGGCUUGCUAGGGUAGCCAUGGAACCACCUUGAUCAGCCACCUUGACCUGCCAAGGGGCUUGCUAGGGUCGCCAUGGAGCCACCUUGACUCGCCUUGGGCCGUCUUUACUCGCCUUGAACUGCCUUUGGCCGCCAUGACUCGCCUUGGGCCGCCUUGACCCUCCUAGACCCCCUUAGGGCUACCAAGAAGCUGCCAUGACUCGCCAAGGGGUCUCCAUCACCCUUCUAGGGACGCCAAGGGGCCGCCUUAACCCGCCUUGGCCCGCUUUGAGCCGUCUUGACCCACUUUGGCCCGCCUUGACCCGCGAUUGUGCCUAAAUAACUCACGCCUGCCAUGUUUUGUAAAGCUGUUGAAAUUAUUGUUUUAAUUGGUAUUGAGUGACUUUUUAGGAUUUUGUUCUCUUCAAAUCUUCUCAUAAUGACAUCGGAAACCUUAGUUUCAUAAGAAAAUGAGGUCUUGUCCCUCAUUUUAGGUUUCACCUAAUUCGAGCUAGAAUCUCUUGCUAUAGCACACGAGUUUCUGCCCAGUUUCACUUUUUUUUGGGCCUCCGGCUUUUUCUAUUUGGGUGUGCUUACAGACACCUUCUAACAUAUAGUAAACCAUUCUAGCUUCAAAAAUACGUGUUUUUUAUCAAUUUACUCGCGAUCGGGCCUAAACAAACUCAUGCGUGCCGUGUUUUGUAAAACUGUUGAAAUUGUUGUUUUAAUUGUUAUUGAGUGAAUUUUUAAGAUUAUGUUAUCUUCAAUUCUACUGAUAUUGACAUCGGAAACCUUAGUCCUAAAAGAAAAUGA